rnacentral:lncRNA from 1 species
AGCAUGCAAAAAAAGUUUUUUAUUUUUCUUAUUCUUUUUUCUAUGUUCAGCCUUGGUAUUUUAUUAUUUUUCUUUGAUCCUCUUAUCAAUUAUUAUUCCUUAGAUUUUUUGUUUGACCUUUAUAUAUUUGUUCCACGAGAAUAUGACAUGCUGAAUAUGUUUGAUUUUGAUAAGUUGAAGACAAAAAUUUGAUUUUAUCAAGCAUUUUGUUAAUAAAAUGGACAACUUCUUUUCUUCAUAGUUACAUUGUUUGAUAUGAUUUACUAUUGAAGUAAAAUAAUUUUUUAUUUUCAUUAACUUUUAAUAAUUAUUGUGUUUAAAUCAUGCCUGGAAGGAAUAAUUAUGUUAUAUUCUUGUAUUUGCUAAAUUUUUAGUAUUUAUUAGUUCUUUGUUUUGUUGCUAAUAAAAUAGAGGAUAAGUGAUGAAGUGAUUACAUUGUUAGGCAUACUGGAAAUUGCAAUCCACAAUACAUGAGGUGCACCAUCAAUCAGGUAAUAAUCAAUUGUUUAAAAUGCUCGAAUAUACUACUAUGAUUUGUUUGCUUAAAAUCAUAAAGACCAUUGAUAUUAUUAUCAAUUUCUUAUGUUGCUUCAACAAAUCCCAUGCACUACUGACCUUUUGACUACAUCAGGAAUGCAAUUAGCCUUGUUGGUCCAACCUUUAGCCCUUCCUCAUCCAUCUGAGGAGCACAUCCAAGUAAUGUAUUGAUUGCUUUAUUUUCCUAUCUUUCGUUAAGGUUUUGGUGAACGAUUUUGCUUUCACUUUCAUGUUUGUAUAUGUUAGGUUUAUUUAUUCUUAUGCCUUUCUCUAAAAAUGGGUUUUUCUUGUUCACUGGUUAAUGAAGCAUGAUUUGGAAUUUGAAAAGCUUAUAAGUGGACUAUUACCCUUUUCCUUAGAGAUUAGGGAAAAGGAAGAAAGUAAUAGUUUUUUUAUUGAGAGGGUGUUUUGAUAUGUCUAGAAGUAAGAAUGGAGAAGAAAUAAAUCUUCCCUUUUCCAAGGGGCUUCUUUGUUUGAGGGUUUAGUGAAUUGAUAAAGGUAUGUUUCACAAUCUAGGAGGGUGUUACUUCAAUUUACUUUUAAGUUCCAUGUGGAGGGGAAUAAAUAACAAUUUUGAAGGAGAGUAGUUGUUUUAUGGGAUAAUUGGGUUUUAGAGGUUAUUGAGAUGGAGGUGUGUGCUUUUUCCAUUUCUUGCCAAUUCAUGAGCUAUGAGGAUAAUUUUGUAUUAAUUUUUACUAAGGUGUAUGAGCCUUUUCUUAGGGAACAAAGAGAGGACUUUUGGGAAGAAUUGACUGACAUUAGAGGGUUUUGGACUGUUAUUAAAUAGUAAAAACAUUUUAGUUGUCAAAAUGUGAAAAUAAUCAUAAUCUUUUAAAAAUAUGACAUAUGAGCUUUUGUUAAAAAAUAUUCAUCAUUAGAAGAUGUUUGACUACUAUUAUGUUAUAGAUAUUUUUCUCCAUAUUUUUUUUUAUGCAGGCCAAUUUAUUUUUUAUUAAGUUGUAGAAUUUAUAUAGUUGUUGUUAGCUUUGAUAGUAAUAAAUAAGAUGAAUGAUAAGUAUGAUACAAUUGGCCUCCAUUUGGGAUGCAAUGUUGCAUUAAUGCUUAUCAAAUGGUAGGAAAUGUUAAUCCUUUUAACUUAACAAAAAACUUAGUUGAUAAAGUAUCAUGGUGUGAACCCUAUUUAUUUCAUGUUACACCAUAUUCCCAAACCUUCCUUUGUUGAUGUUGCGCAUUCGAUGAGGUCUAUUAUUACUAGGCGAUGCCUAAUUGAAUAUUUUAAUGGACUAUUGAUGUUGAUGUUCUCUUGUCCCAAACUUAGUUGGUUUAUUUUUCUAUUUUCUUUUGGGUUAUACUAAAGAUUUAAUGGAUUAUUGAUGUUGAUAUUUUCUUGUCCUAUAUUUGAUUAAUCUCUUGCUUUGUGUUAUAACCAUUGAUAGUAAUUUUUUUGUAAUUAUUCUUAGGGUCACAUAUGUCGAUUGGUAUACACAUUUGUUUUCCUCUUAUAUUGUCAUUAUCAUUUCUUUCUUUCUAUUUCUAAAAGUGUUCACUUAUAUAUCUUUUUUUGAAAUUGUAAUUGAUUUUAGUUUUUUGUGCAUGUAGGUCAUCUUUUUGGGAAAUUAACCUUAUAGUUGGAUAAACUACCAUGAAGCAUUAUGUUGAAGACCAAGGCAUAAUUGGGUUGCAUGUAAAGAAAAAAUGGACCAUUUUAAGGAACUAAACAUUAAAGUUGUGACUUUUAUUUUUUUUGGUUAUUUUAAUAUCUUUUAGUUUUUUUGUGUUUCUUAUACAAGUUCUCUAUCUAUGAUUAAAUAUUGCAAUUUGGAAAUGUAUUACCAAGUGAAAAAUUAGGUGCAACAACUAAUUUCAUUGGUACAUAAUUUUUUAUUUUUAUGUGUAUGCAUUAUUUCAAUAGCAAGUGAAAAAAUUAUUAAAUCAAAACUAAAAUUAAAUAAUUAUCUUCCUUGAUGCUUUUACUAAGUGUCAAGGAAUGAGAGCAAUUCUCUUCAAUGGCGCUUUCUAGAAGUGUCAUUAUCAUUCGAUAUUUGAAACCACUAAACAAUGGCACUUAUAGAAAGUGUCAAGGUUUCUUCAACUCAACAAUGAUGCUUAUAGAAGUGUCAAUGUAAUUUGAUAUAACUAACAAUGACACUUUUUUAAGCGUCAAGGUUCUUUUCAAUGACGCUUUCUAGAAGGGUCAUUGUAGGCAAAUACUUAUUAUGACAGGCUAGUAGAUGACGCUUUGGGGAAGCGCCAUUGAAUGUAUUUCUUGACACUUAAAAAGUGUCAUGGUUAACCUUUUUUCUUAUAGUGAAAUCCUCCUAUUAUGUUAUCAAGUGACAUACUCUUAACUCCAAGUAACACAUGUUAAAUUCUACUAAAGGAAUUAUUGUGGCUACAAAUUUUAUGAUCACAUGUCCUUAAGAUCACUGAAGGGGACACAUUGUCUUAAUACCCUGAGAUAUCAUGAUGCCUUUAUUGAAAAUAAUUGUUGCCACCAACCUCCAUCAAUAGUGACUCAAUCUAUAGAGAUAUAUGACCACUUUAGGUUGGUCAAAGCCUCCUAUUGAUUUUGACACAAGUUCAAUAUCCUCUCCAGGUUGAGAGUCUAUGCAAUAUAAUAGCUUGGUGAAUCAUGAAAACCUAAUAACCUUAUGUUAUGAUUCAUUUUUAGUCCUGUCCAAUGUGUAACUAUACAUACUAGUGCACCCAUCAUGGAAAACUCAUCCCAAAUGCUAAGAGAAUUUGUCCCUCCAAUUAGGAGAUAGUGCGCUAAGUCUUUACUAGAUUGCCCAAAUCCAUGAACUGAUUAUGAACAAUUUAUUAUCUUGCAAGGAACCUAUGACUUGUAUCUUCUGUACAAAUCCUAAUGUACUCAAGUCAUGUACAAUGCAAAUAAUAUGAGUCUGAAUGCUCAAAAUAAUGUCAAUGCAUAAAAGGGAUAGUAGGAGGAUGGUGAAGUCUAACUUUGUUACAUUAUGUCUUGCUUUGAGAAGCUCAAUCCCAACAGUUAACUUAAAGGAUUGGGAUGGAGUUACAAAUGAUUUGAAAAGCACCCUUUUGAGUGUGUAUUUUGCAGGAAUAUUUAGAUUACUCCAAUCAUGGCCCUUGAUCUCUAGGGUUCAUGCAAAACUAUCUUAGGCUCAUAUAGAUUUACACAACGAAACCAUGAGACAUAUUAAAAUAAUAGAUAUAUAGAAUAGAUGUUAUAUCUAUGAUUUGGAUGCUCCUAGAUCGAUUCCAAUUGAUGAAAAAUUGACACAAAUCUUGAAGACCAAUAGCUCUUCUACUUGAUGACUCUCUUUUUUGGAUCUUGGUAUAUGAGGGGCUAGAAUUCUCUCUGAUGAGGAUGGAGGAUAAGGUUUCUCUCUUUGGAAGACUAACUAGCAAGAGUUUCCAGUCUCAACCCCUAGGGGAGUUUAUAUAGGCUUCCCUAUGGGCUUAAGUGACUUGAGUUCGUCUUAGGCUUGGGUCACUUAAUCCAACUAAUUAGGUUUUAAUUAAUUAAAUAGCCCAAAUAAAAAAGAUCAUUCAUAAACUUUGACGUAACCUUACGUAUUUACCAAAAUACUAUUAUGCACACAUACGAAUAAAAAACCUAAGUGUCCCUCAAUAAAUGUACUGCAAGGAAUAUGAGCUCGAACCAUAGAAAAAGAAUGGCUCUCCAAGAAUCUAAUUUUGAAGUUGACUUAAUUAUACUUUCCUAUGAUAUUAGAAUGGGAUACUAAAACUUAAGUCUGCAACCUACUAUCCAUUAUAUAAGGGCUCCCCACAAAGUGGUGUUCGUGAUGUAACAAGGUAGAUGUUAUCAAUCUCUCAAAAUUAUCAUUACCAUCCUUGAGUCUCAAAUCCUCUUAUUAUGUGAUCUACUGAUAUACUCUAGCUCUAUAAGAGUAUAUGUCAAAUUCCACUCAAUGAAUUACUAUGACCAUCAAUUUCCUAAUCACAUGUCCUUGGCAAGGGGACGUUGUUUCAAACCCAUGAGAUAUCAUGGUGCCUAUCUUAAGAAUGCUUGUUGCAACCAAUCUUGAUCAAUAGUGAUCCAAUCUAUAAGGAAUAAGCAAAAACAACAUAAAGAAUGAUUGUUUCAUAAACAUCCAAAGUGAUAAAUUAUAUUGAAUGAGAACAAAUUAUAACAUGUUAAAUGAGAUAGACAUGUUGGUAAAUGAAUUAAACCUAUCACUUGUUAAAUCUGCCAGAAAUUUUGAGGCUUUAAUGCAAAUGAAGGGCAUAUCUCAUCAAUUUUUUCUAAGCUAAUGAGUCAAUUAGAUGUCUCAUUAUCACAUCUUUCAUAUUAUCUCAACAUGCCAUUUCAUGUAAGAAGCUAUCCUUGAUGACAUAAAUAGCCUUUGAAGCUUAGGUUUUAAAGGAAAGUAUUACGAGACCUUACUAGAAAUAUGUUUUCUUUCUUUUUUUUUGUGAUGAUUUGUUGGUUUCAUCAAAAGAACAACCCUUACCUGAUUUUCAUCUAGUUUCACCACAUACAAUGCAUUCAUUAGCAUAUGCAUGCUCCUUUGAGUACAACAAGUAAUUAGAAGGGCAUGCAUGUGUCUUCUUAUAAUGAAGUCCAAGUUCAUGAAGUCUUUUUUUAGUUUCAUAGUAAGUACUUGACAAUUUCUCACUUUUAGGAAGUGUCUUCUUCAAUAAUUUAAGUAACAUUGUGAAUUUAUUACUCCAUCCAUUAAGACAUUUUAUAUGAAAUAGUCUUAUAAUAAAAGCUAACUUUGUGAAUUUUUUACAUUUGGGAUGCAAUUCUUACUCAAUUUCUCUCAACAAUUUAUAAAUUUUGUUUGCAUCUUUGAUCAUAUCUUCAAGCUUAUGUUAAACAUGUGAACUACUUCCACAAUCUACUGAAUUAUCAAUAUUUGACACUCCAAAUGCAUCAUGUAACAUUCCUUGUAUAUCAUCAUCCAUGUGAGACUCAUCACUGAAAUUUUCUAAUUCAUCAAACUCAUAUUCCUCCUACAUUAACCAAUACACAUAAUUUCUAGUUAUCUCAUUAUCUAAUAAAUGGUUAUGCAUUGUUCCUCGAUUUUGUAUAAGAUAGUUAUUGCAACGAACAUAGGGACAUGGGAGCUAUCUCUACCUAAUGCAUUACUGAAGGCAAACUCUAGGAAUUGUAAAACUCCAUUAUCAUAUUAACUACUUAUCCUUAGUUUUUUCAUCUAACUCUUUUCUAUUGGUGUUUCUUGUAGUUCUCUAUUGAGAAUGCCCUUCUACGAUACAAGAAGGAAUGCAAAUGUUAACCUAUAAUGCAUUUGUUAUAAUUCUUACUAUAAAUUAGGUGGUGGUUUUUUCUCCAUUUAAGAAUACAUAAUCUCUAAGAGUUAAUUGCCAAGGUGCUUGAUACUCCAUUUUGAGAAAAUUUUGAUAGUAUUUCCACAUUGUUCUCGAAGUACACAAUUUGGCUAAGGCACAAACACAUAGUAUGUCCCUUAUCCAAAUAUGCUCCCAAAGACUGAGAGGAAUGACCGUUAAAAUAUCUUAAUAUGGAAAAAGCACUUGAAAUUGAGUUAAUAAAUACUAUGUAUUCUUAAAUUGUCCAAAUGGAUAAUUCAAACAUCAUUUGCAAACAAAUCAUCAAUCACAUGGUAAAUAUAUACAUUGUCAACUUGCAUUUAGCUCAAUAAGAAAGCCAUUUCUACAAUUCAUUUAUCAUGCAAUGAUGCUUGAACCAGAAAAGGAUUCAAUAUUCUCCAACUACUUAUUGCAUUAAGUAAUAUGUUUUUAACUAUCCAACACAUCACUAAAGCUAGAAAGCUUGUAAUAAGACAACUAGAAUAAGACAAAGUCAUUUACAAUAAAACUAGGUUAAUUAGAAAAGGACAAAUGCUACUGAUCAGCUUUAACAUUGACUAGUACAUAACUAAUCAAACAAAUAAAAAACAAAUAUUUAUAUCACAAAGAAACUAAAGAAACCCUUCUUAUAAGUUAGUGGUUUAAAUUCACAUAAUAUUCGCAUAACAACAAAGUCUUUAUAACCUAACAUUUAGCACGAGAUUUGAAACUUCUUACAUGAUAAAUUGAGUAUUUUCAAUAAAAAUGAAGGAUACCUUUAUACUAAAAAGACCAUAGAGAUAAAAAUAAGAUUAUUUAUUAUAUUUUUAACCAAUAUAAUUGGAUCUCCAUAUGACAUGCCACUAUAAUAAAGUACUAAACUACCUUUGAAAGUCACAUCUUUUAAGUUCUUUACUUUUUACACCAAAUAGUGAAUGUGGGAUAGGUAGCAUACUAGUUUUCUAAGUCCACAAUCGUAACCAUUUUUAGUAAAAAUACAAGACCAAUCACUUGAAGAUAAUGAAGCUUCAAAAUUUAGAAGCUCAAUUUCUCUUAAAAUUGAAAACCAAGAAGCCUACUCUUUUUUAACAACCCAAAAUCAUUGAUAUGGUUUUUUUAAAGCGCUACCUCCCUAAUUUUAGGUCUCUUCUCAAGCACUGAUCCCUCUCUAUAUCCUUUUCUUUUCUUUAUUAAUUGAUUAAUUGAUUUUUUACUAAAAAUCAAUGGUUUAAAUCAACAGGAUAUUAUAGAGAACAGAAGAGGAGAUUUUCAUCGAAGAAAGUAGCACACACAACAAUGGUUUAAAUCAACAGGAUAUUAUAGAGAACCGAUUGGCAUAACUCUUGUGUCAAUUGGAAUAACAGUAUAUAGAACAUCGGUAGUAGUUGGAGAGUAGUUUAGUUCGACAAGACCAUUUGGUUCAUCAACUCCAUCAAACCAUGGGCAACCAAGGACGUCCAAUGCGAAAUUAUUCGAAUUCGGAAGAGAAUACCGCUGGUUACUCUCAGGAAGCAAUAUCACCAUGAUUAACUUCAAAAGGGGAGGUUUUACACCGACCUCGUGAACUCGGAGAGUUUGAACAAAAAUACAAAGAGCUGGCAGUAGAGGUCCAUCAACUGAAGUUGUAGGUAAAUCUGGGGACAGGAACCAUAAGAGAAUGGAAAGGUAUGAUGCACUCCUUGCUAUCCUCACAAUUACUCCAAGAAGAAUUACUGUCACACUAUGUAACGCCAAAAUUCAACCUCUACAACAGAAUGAGAGACUCGAUGAAACAUAUUUACUAGUUUCGUCAACUGAUGGCGUUGAUUGAUGAUUGUGAAAGUCUGUUUUGUCGAGUUUUUCCAACAAGUUUAGGGGGUUGUACUUUGAACUAGUUUCAUUAACUUCCUCUGCACUCGAUCCAUAGCUUUGCCUAGUUAUUUGAUCAAUUUUGUUAAAGUAUAUUAUGUUAUGGGCUCUAGGCCCAGUUAGGUUACUUGUAUAGUACUUGUACUACACACUUGUACCGCACAGUACUUGUACCGCACACUUGUACCGCACCUUUGUACUGCACCCUUGUACUGCACACAUAUGCCUCCUAUAUAAAGGCACUGAUGUAUACUCUUUAAAUCACAGAAUAGAAUACAAUUAUUCUAUAUUUCUAACAUGGUAUCAAAGCCACUGCUCUGACCUUUUUCUUAGCAGUCUUGUCUUCAUUAGUGUGACUUCCUUCUUUCACUAAACACUUCCGCCAUCAUAACUGCCGCUGUAACCUCUUGCCGUUGAACCUCCGACGUCAUCCAGUCGUUGUCCUUGGGUUCCAGACCUGCAGUCGCCGUCGUUAAGAAGUUCCACACUGCACAGACCACUGCCUUUUGCAUUACCGCUGCAAAUAUUGCUCCGAUUUCAUUUUUGAAGGUACCACUGAGAUCUCCUGCGCUGAUCUACACAUUCGUGGAUAUCUCGCCGCCAUCGGAGACUUCACACACCUCUAUGCGCCUACACGCGCCUCCACGCAAUGCCACGUCAGCCCUAGCUGCGUCAGCAUCCACUGAUCUGCUGACGUCAUCUCCACGUCAUCUUCAGUCGUUGACCGUUGACUGUCCGUUGAACGUUGACCAUCCGUUGACCUUUGACCGUUGACUUUCACUGUUGACCGUUGACUUUCCGGUUGGCUUUUUCCCGGCCAGGUUCUCCUUACCCAGUUUUUCGUGUAGAUUUCAUUUAUGCAGUCGGUUUUUGCAUAUUGUGUCCCUAAAUGGAUAAGAAGGAUGUUUUUCUUCCUCGCCCCAUCCAUACUGUAUUGGAGGGGACUAAAAAUUACUUAUCCUGGUCUCAAGCUAUGCGUAGUUUUCUUAAGAGCCGCAUGCUCUGGCAUUAUUGUACUGGUGCAAUGACUAUUCCUGUCAAGGGAGCAAGUGAAGAAGAUGCUGCCUUUCUUAGUCGCAUGAUUGAAUGGGAUAGUCAUAACCACAUGAUCCUCACAUGGAUCCGGAACACUUCCAUUCCCUCUAUUUCCAAUCUAUUGGGCAGCUUUGACGAUGCAAAAUCUGCAUGGGAUAUGUUGACCAAAAGGUACUCCACUACUCAUGGAUCCAUGAAAUAUCAGUUAGUGGUUGAAUUGCAUCAACUCAGGCAAGAACCGGGGCAAUCCAUCAAUGACUAUUAUGAUCAGCUUCGCUUCAUUUGAGACCAAAUUGACCUUUCUGAUCCAACUUGGGCAUGCUCAAAAAAUGCUCAAUAAUAUGCUUCCAUCAGAGAUGAAUUUCGCCUCUAUGAAUUCUUGAUGUCACUUCACAAUGACUUUGAGCCCAUUCGUGGUCAGCUGCUAAAUCACAGUCCUACUCCCUCUCUUGAUACUGCUGUGAAUGAGUUGGUUAGAGAAGAAGCUCGUCUUGCAACCCUUCAAGCCCAAAAUAAGCUCAAUAUUUUGGCUAUUACUCCAUCUACUCCACUCAUAGAGCAACCUAAGCAAUUGGGUGAUUUUUCUGGCUCUAGCAAUCAUUGCAAGCAAACCAACAAGAAGUUCUGCAACUAUUGCAAGCGUCCUGGCCACACCAUUGAGACUUGUUACCGUCGUAACAAAUCUACUGUUGCUGUUGCUAAUACUGAACCUACUCCGCCAACAGUUUCCACGUCCCAGUCUUCUGGAUCUACUAUCAACCUCUCCUCCACUGAACUACAGGAGAUCAUAUCUCAGGCUGUUCGUAUGGCUGGUAAUGCAUCUCUUUCCACUGCCUUAUCUGCUCUACCUGGUAAGUCUCAAACUUGGCUCUUUGAUUCUGCCUGCUGCAAUCACAUGACACCUCACUCAUCCCUGUUCUCCAAACUUGACCCUGCACCACAUCCUCUAAAUAUUCAUAUAGCCGAUGGUUCCACCAUGCAUGGAAAUAGUCUAGGUUUUGUUUCAACCUCUACUCUUUCUGUUCCUAGAGUCUUCCACGUACUUGCCCUAUCCUAUAAUUUGUGCUCUGUGGGACAAUUAGCUGAACUAGGUUAUCGCCUUAUUUUUUACUAUUCUGGGUGUAUUGUGCAGGAUCCGAGGACGGGGCAGGAGCUUGGGACCGGUCCUAGAGUUGGGCGUAUGUUUCCCGUGAACAAUCUUCAUCUUCCACCUGUUGCUCCUGUUUCUGUUGCUGCUGCAACAGCUGCAGUUUCUUCCUUAUCUUCUCUUGCACUUUGGCAUUCUCGUCUUGGUCAUGCACCAUCUUCUCGGGUACAACAGUUAGUGUCUAGAGGUCUGUUGGGUUCUGUGUCUAAAGACAAUUUUGAUUGCACUUCAUGUCAGUUAGGAAAACAGCCAGCUUUGCCUUUUAAUAACAGUGAAUCCAUUUCUAAAAGUAUUUUUGAGUUAAUUCAUUCUGAUGUUUGGGGACCUUCUCCUGUUGCUAGUAUUGGUGGAUCUCGAUAUUUUGUUGUUUUUAUUGAUGAUUAUUCUCGUUAUAGUUGGAUUUUUCCUAUGAAAUCUCGUUCCGAAAUUUUAUCAAUAUAUAGCAACUUUGCAAAAAUGAUUGAAACUCAAUUCUCCAAACGUAUCAAAACCUUUCGAUCUGAUAAUGCUCUUGAAUACACUCAACAUGCAUUUCAAGCUUUGUUACAUUCCUAUGGCACUAUACAUCAUCUAACUUGUCCAGGUACCUCUCAGCAAAAUGGUCGAGCCGAAAGAAAACUUCGUCAUAUUCUUGACACUAUUCGUGCUCUACUUCUUUCUACCAAAAUUCCUGCCCCAUUUUGGGGUGAAGCUAGUCUUCAUGCUGUUCAUGCAAUUAACCGCAUUCCAAGUGCUGUCAUCCAUAAUCAGACUCCGUAUGAGCGUCUCUUUGGGUCACCCCCUAACUAUCAUCACCUUCGCUCCUUUGGAUCCGCUUGUUUUGUCCUUCUUCAGCCUCAUGAGCACAACAAACUUGAGCCUCGAUCUAGACUCUGUUGUUUCCUUGGUUAUGGAGAAACUUAAAAGGGGUAUAGGUGUUAUGAUCCUGUCUCUCAUCGUCUUCGCGUUUCUCGUAAUGUUGUCUUUUGGGAACAUCGAUUGUUUGUUGAACUCUCUCACUUUCGUUCUUCCUUGACUAACUCCUCUGUUUUAGAAAUCUUUCCCGAUGAGUCUCUUGUUCCUUCUACAAAUACUUUUGAUCCUCAUUUAGACUUCUCUCUAGAUAUCUUUGAUGCUUCUCCUAAACAGGUUGCAGAUGAACAGAUUAAUCACGAGCUACCCCACUUUGAGCCUGGGUCCCCUGCUCCUACUCUGCCUGAAGAUCCUCCACAAGACAUUCCACCUCGCCACUCAACCCGGGUAAGAUCCAUUCCUCCACACCUCCUUGACUAUCAUUGUUACACUGCCCUUGCUACACUUCACGAGCCUCAAACCUAUCGUGAGGCCUCUACUGACCCUUUAUGGCAGAUUGCAAUGAAAGAGGAACUUGAUGCAUUAACUAAAAACCAUACUUGGGACCUGGUUACUCUCCCUCCUGGACAGUCUGUGGUUGGUUGUAAGUGGAUCUAUAAGAUCAAGACUCACUCUGAUGGAUCCGUUGAGCGCUAUAAGGCUCGUCUUGUUGCCAAAGGUUUUACACAAGAGUAUGGGAUUGAUUAUGAAGAGACGUUUGCUCCAGUUGCUCGUAUCUCAUCUGUUCGUGCUCUCUUAGCUGUUGCUGCUGCUCGUAAAUGGGAUCUUUUUCAGAUGGAUGUUAAAAAUGCCUUCCUUAAUGGGGAUCUGAGUGAAGAAGUCUAUAUGCAACCUCCUCCUGGUCUCUUUGUUGAAUCAAACAAGGUUUGUCAUCUUCGACGUGCACUUUAUGGUCUCAAACAAGCCCCAAGUGCUUGGUUUGCCAAGUUCAGCUCCACUAUUUUUCGCUUGGGUUACACCGCCAGUCCAUAUGAUUCUGCCUUAUUUCUUCGUCGUACUGAUAAAGGCACUAUUUUGCUUCUUCUCUAUGUGGAUGAUAUGAUCAUAACUGGUGAUGACCUUAGUGGCAUUCAAGAACUCAAAGAUUUUCUCAGUCAGCAGUUUGAGAUGAAAGAUCUUGGACAUCUCAGCUAUUUCUUGGGUCUUGAAAUUACUCAUUCCACAGAUGGUCUUUAUAUUACUCAAGCCAAGUAUGCUUCUGACCUGUUGUCUCAAGCUGGACUCACUGACAGCAAAAUUGUUGACACUCCAGUUGAACUUAAUGCGCAUCUGACACCCUCGGGGGGGGGGGGGGGGGGGGGAAACCAUUGUCUAAUCCUUCUCUUUACAUACGAUUGGUUGGCAGCUUAGUUUACCUCACAGUUACUCGUCCAGACAUCUCCUAUGUUGUUCAUCAGGUGAGCCAGUAUUUGUCUGCUCCACGAUCAACUCACUAUGCUGCUAUUCUGCGCAUUCUUCGAUACCUGAAGGGUACCCUUUUUCAUGGCCUUUUCUACUCAGCUCAGUCUCCUCUUGUACUCCGUGCAUUCUCAGAUGUUGAUUGGGCAGGAGAUCCUAUUGAUCGCAGGUCCACUACAGGUUAUUGCUUCCUCCUUGGUUCUUUUUUGAUUUCUUGGCGAAGUAAGAAACAAACUUUUGUGGCCCGCUCCAGUACUGAAGCAGAAUAUCAUGCCUUUGCUGAUAGCACAUCUGAGCUCCUUUGGCUAAGAUGGCUUCUUAAGGAUUUGGGUGUAUCCACCUCCUUUGCUACUCCUCUUUAUUGUGACAACCAAAGUGCUAUUCAUAUUGCUCACAAUGAUGUCUUUCAUGAACGGACUAAACACAUCGAGAUUGAUUGUCAUUUUAUCCGUUAUCAUCUUGUCCAUGGUGCUCUUAAGCUUUUCUCCGUCUCCUCCAAAGAUCAACUUGCAGAUAUCUUCACCAAGUCUCUUCCUAAGAGACGCACUCGUGAUUUAGUUGACAACCUCAAGUUGGUCUCACAUCCACCUUGAAGUUGAGGGGGGCUGUUAAAGUAUAUUAUGUUAUGGGCUCUAGGCCCAGUUAGGUUACUUGUAUAGUACUUGUACUACACACUUGUACCGCACAAUACUUGUACCGCACACUUGUACCGCACCUUUGUACUGCACCCUUGUACUGCACACAUAUGCCUCCUAUAUAAAGGCACUGAUGUAUACUCUUUAAAUCACAAAAUAGAAUACAAUUAUUCUAUAUUUCUAACAAAUUUGUAGUCUAGUAUGCAUGCAACGCUUGACCAUGCAGAGAUGUCGAUCACUUGUUUAACUUAAAGAAAAAUCCAGGAGAACCGCUCAGAAAGUUGAUCUAUCAUUUUGUGAGCAGAAUGGUGUAGGUAGAAAAUUGUAACCAAAAAACAACAAUUGUCAUUUUUCGGAAGGCACUACCUCCUGGGAGUUUGCUACUGUGAUUGUUAGCGAAGAACGAGCAAAAUACUAUGGAAGCAUUACUAUCAAAAGCGAAUAGGAAUGCAAACAUGGAGGAAAAGUUGGGAACAAUUGAAAGAAAAAGGAAAAUAUCCCAAGUUGAUCAUGUGUAAGAAUGAGGGUCAACACCUAAGAAAAAAAAUGAGGUUAUAACCAAAAGCCUUCGAUGAAGUAUGCAACCAAAGGAACACCUCGUGUAGAGUUUACCAUCCUUCUAAGAGAGCUUAUGAUCAAGUUGCAAGACAACCCCAACUUUCAAUGGCCACUAGAACUAUUUCGACCCUCUUAAUCCUAGGACAAAUUUUGAAUUGCCAUUAUCACCGCAUCUACAGGCAUCGAACUAAUCAGUGUAAGGCGUUAAGAAGGCAUCUUGAAAAUUUGGUCUGAUAAGGAAAAUUACACCAAUAUGUAAAGAAAAGCUUUGUUUAGCCUAACUUAAUUGUUGUUGGCAAACCAAAUGAUCUCGUGGAAAUGCCAAAAACUGAAAUUAACCCUCCACCAAUUAUACAGGUUGUUGAUGACUAUUCAAUUGAUCAAACUCCACGUCGAAUGCAUUGACAACGCCUUAAAUGACUUAUGAAGCAUCGAGAACUAGCACAACCCUUCACAUGUAUCCAAAUGAUAGUGUGUAAGAAUGUGCACACCUACAAUUGAAUUCACAACGAAAGACUUCAGCCACGUAUUCCUCCCCUAUGAUGACCCUCUUGUAGUCACAUUAUAGAUUGGGUCAUACCAGGUAUGACGAAUCCUUAUGGACAUGGAAAGCUCAUCUAAUAUCCUAUUCCACAUAUGCUACCUGCUAAUGGAUCGUGAACAUGAGAAGUUGCAACCAAUUCAAACUUUACUAGUUGGAUUUAAUAGGAAAGUCACCUAUGCUACUAAAUAGUUGGUCCUAGAGGUCGUGCCCAGAACUGCAUUGGUAAACACCCUUUUUCUAGUUGAAAACUCUAUUUCUUCAUACAAUGUUAUACUGGGGAGACCAUGGAUACAUGUGAUGGUAAUAGUUACCUCUACCUAUCAUUAGAUCAAAAUAGCUACAACCGACGGAGUAGUCGAAAUUUUCGGGGAAUAACUCACCACGCUUCACUGCCAUUUGGCAAUUAUGAGCACAGAACCUAGCUGUAAUAGCUUGACUACAGAGCCAGAUCGAGCUCUUUUACCUCUCGAAUAACAAUAAAAGAAAUACCUUCUGCCAGAUCCUAGAAAUGAACUAUCUUGGUACGUAGGAGGUGAUAGAACCCACAAAAAAGGUAGUCAUCGGGCCCCGAAGUAAUUAGGUAGUGCACUUAAGCAAGAUAAUCUCGACUACUUUUCAAGAUGAGUUGGAAGUUUGCUUGUAGACCCAUGUGGAUAUAUUUACUUGGGAACCACUUGACAUGACCAAUAUAGGUGCUAAACUAUUCAAUUACUAGCUGAAUUGUUGAUCCUCAUUACUCACUAGUGUAGCAAAAACAACGUCGACUUGUGUCAUUUAAAAAUCAAAUUGCAUGUGAAGAAUUGGAAAAGUUGUUGGUUGUAGGGUUCAUAUGUGAAGUUUGCUAUCCGACUUAGUUAGCUAAUGUUGUGAUAGUCUAAAAAAAGAGCGGGAAAUGGAGAAUGUGUGUGGACUACACCGAUUUUAAUAAGAUCCACUCAAAAGACAACUACCAAUUACCACGCAUAGAUCAAUUAGUGGAUUCUAUUGUGGGGCAUGAAGUCUUAUCCUUCUUAGAUGUGUACAACGGGUAUAACCAAAUCUUCAUACACCGAGCAGUUGUUGAAAAAACGACAUUCAUCACCGAACAAGGAACAUAUUGCUAUAAAGUGAUGCCCUUUAGGUUAAAGAACGCUAUAGCCACUUUUCAACGUUUGGUGACCUGAGUAUUCGAGAACUUGAUUAGGAAUCAAGUUGAGGUCUACGUCGACAAUUUGGUGGAAAAAAAUGAAGGAGCGAGUCAGCAUCCACAAAACUUAUUUGAAGUAUUUUUUGUGCUGCGACAUUUUAAUAUAAAUUAAGUUCAAUCCGACAAAGUGUGCCUUCAGCAUAACUAGUGGGCAGUUAUUGGGACAUUUAGGUGGUGUUUGUUUUUUUACUUAAUUUUAAAUAGAACCUUAAUGUUUAAUAAUAUUAAAUAUUGGGUUGUUUGUUUUUAUAGUAUUUAUUUUUUAUUAAGUAUUAAAAAGUAAAAAAAAAAAAACUAAUAUGUUAUUUUUUCUAUUUAGAAAAAACUAUAUAUUUUGACUUUUUCUAUUUAGUAAAAAGUUUAUAAUAAGUCAGAAAAAAGUAGAAAAAAAAACAACCUAAAUUCUUAAAACAAAUUGCUUUCAGUAAAAAGCCAAAAAAACAAACACCACCUUAGUCACUUGUAGAGGAAUUGAAGCCAACCCUAAGCAAAUUAAAGCUAUUUGUGAUAUGAAAAUCCUGACCUCAUAGAACCUCCUAUGCUAGAACCAAUAUUCUAAUACUUACCCUCCAAAGAGAUUGGCUUCAAUAGAGGUUGCUCCUACUUCAUGUUUAGACAAUCAGCUAUAGGAAGUAGAGGCAGUAGAGAAAAACGCUUCUCCAAUGGAGCGUCCUCAGACUUAAUAAAAGAGAGACAAGGUGUCUAAGAAAUUAACCCCAUAGAGACAAAAGUAGCAUAUAAAUGGGCAGGUUUCAACAAUAUCUUUUGGUCACAAAGACCAGCAUUGAUCCCGAACCAAUUAUUGAUCUCAUCACGUUGAGAUUCAUCAAUUUCUAGUGUUUUAGUAACCUCCAUUUCUACACACCACACAACCCUCACGUCAUCGCAAUAAUAAUAAUAAUAAUAAUAAUAAUAAAUCGAAAUACAAACAGAGCAAACCUGAAACACUGUGAACCCUUGGAACAUGAGGAAGACAUUGGGGCUAAUAAGCCCAAAAUUUCCAAUUUUUGAACACUGCAAAGAUACCCUUAUCUAAAUCUUUAUUCGUUGAGGGUGCACCAAUGAUGAAACCACUCAUGGCUAGCUGUGGAAAAAGGUACCACUCGUGGGGAAUGCGAGACCUCUUCACAUUGUAAAUAUGUAAAACAUCCGUAGUCAAAAUACCUAAGCCUUUCAUAUGAUCCAAAAUUACUAAUGACAUAAUCAACCUCACAGUAUUAAUACAUAACUGAUUUGGAGACAAGUGGAGAUGACACACUAUGUGUCUCAACAAAGGAUGAAGGAGUAGUCUUAACCCAACCUCAAAAUAGCUCUUAAGCAAAAGCAACUCAUCGACAGGAGGGCUACCGACGGUAAAGUCAACUUCACCAUCUUCUAAAAAAUGAAUACCGACUGACAACAAUAUAUUGAACUCAACCCGAAAUUCUUCUGGUGACCCAAUGACCUUUAUUUUUUUCCCAUCUUCAACAUGGUCGCGAAGAGAAUAAUAUAAAGAACAACGAAAACAUUAAAUGAAGAAAAACAUAGAAGUAAAUGGUCAUACUUACCUUCAAGAAAAGAACAGAGAGAAAAAAAGUCACUAGAAGGCGACGCUAUAAUUGAAACCCACUCACAAAGAAGAAUAAUUCUCAUUGGGGACGCUGCAGCAAGUGACACAUGGCGGGACCCUCAUCCUCGGACGUGGGAAGAGGGUUUACAGUAACCAAAUCAUACCUACACAUUUUUUUCCUAUGAUUGUGGUAAUUCUUAUGAGUGACAUUGGAUAUAUCAAUAAUAUAUAAGAUAAUUUAAAAUUAGUUAUUAUUAUUAUUAAACCAAACCGAAUUGAUUAGUUUCCUCUUAAGAUUCAAUUAAUUUGGUUCUUGAUAUAGGUUUUGUAGGGACCCCUCCUCCUGAGAACACGUGCCACACACCUCAUAGUGACACGUAGCACGCAUACCAUCUGGAUCAUCCCAUCCGGAUACACAUGACGCGCCCUCAUAUCCGGCCUGCUUCAAGGAAGUUCAAACGACACUUAUAAACAUAGACAUCCGGACGACUUUCACAAUACAUACGAAUGACCAACAUAGGUCAUCCAGAUAUGAUUGUCCGGGUCAUUGACUGGAGUAAGCAAGUCUUACACGCUAUCACAACAGCCUGCCAUGGCCCACGUUCCGCCACCUGCAGAGUGAAGGGACAAGAUGAAGUGACAACAAGUCACUUCCCACGAUCAUUUCACAUGAUCACCUACCACGAUCUCUGACAGCCGCAUCACUUACCACGAUCUCUGUCAAACCGUCCAUAGGGUGAUGAUGGCCCUGCCACCACCUAGUGUCAUCAUGACAACACAAAAUAUCUCCCCACCAUUAAAGAGGGGAACAAAGCUUCUGAAGCUAUAUAUACAAACCUUCACACAAAAGGGAAGGUAAGCUUGCUAUACCUAGUAAAAAGCCAACUGGUUAUCUCUCUCUAACCAUGGCUGACAAAACCAUUGGAGGGUGCGCCCGGACACCCUGUCCGGACGUCUUUUGCAGGUAAACCGACUGAAUCAAGAACCUGUAUUGGUUGAGAACCGCGCAUCCAUCCAUUUGGCAACUACGUGGAUUGUCAGGGACGCGAGGCCUCAACAGGUUUGAUUUUAAUACUCAAAACGGAACGGAUCCAACCCUAACUAAAAAGUAGGCAAAUAUGAAUUCAAAUAUGGUGGUGGGGCAACCUUGGUAUAAUGUAACUGAAUUAGAUAUAUGUAUCAAAAUCAUUGUUAAGGAAUAUAACACUAAGUAACAGUAUAAUUCUAUGUAAAUAAGAGUUCUAUGUAGGGUGGGGAAAUGCCAAAGUAUAGGGGUGCAAAAUCCAACCAGAUGAGGCUAGCCUCGGGCCGAGAAGACAUGGCCAACAAUAGGAAUGUGAAUCUAAAACUUCAUCUUAAUGGGAUUGCAUUCGAUUCAACAAAUGUAAACUGCUUUUGAAACCUCUGUGUCAAUAGAAAGAAAACAAUGAAAAUUUUGAACAAGGAUUCUGUGACUUAGAAGGAUUGAGGCUCCCAUACAUUUCCUAUAUGGUACAAUAUAUUCAUGCAAUCUUCUUACAAUCUUUAGAUUGCAGGAAUUGAAGGAUAUAAAAGGAGUAGGACAUUUGGAGCAAUGUCAAAAUUCAAUGCAUCAAAAUUGAUGCCUUAAAGCUAUGAAUUAGCUUAGGAUAGGAGUUGUAAACCAUAGAACUUUGAUGAAAAUUAAAUUUCUAUGAACCAAAUGUUUUUAUUAUUGACCUCGAACCAACCACCCACAUUGUUUUUUCUACUCAUACUUGUGUAAAUGGGUCAGCAUGAAUAUGUAAUGCACUUGAACCGGAGGUUCAUGAGAGAUCUAAAAAGCUUGUUUAAUUUCUUCGAGGAGGUGGUCCCAUUUAUACUCUCAUAUAUAAUGAAAUAUAUAAAGUGUGUCCUACAAUUAGCACACCACCAUAAGAAAUAUGUUAUUCAUUAAAGAGUAUGAAACCAUCCUCAACUAUUAUAAAAUAUGCACUAUAUUAGCCAUAGGCAUAGUCACUCAUAUAAAAAUAAUUAAUAGUACACUACAUAGUCAACAAGUGACCUACAUAAACCUAUUUCUUGGGAUCUUAGUUCAUGUAGGUUGGAUUUGUUAGGAUAGAGUCUUAGAAAACAUGACAUAACAUAUUAAAAUUUAUUAAUAAAUUUAUUUAUUUAUAUUUCUGGUUCCCUUUAUUAUUUCGUAUGCAUUAAUUAGUUAUAUGAGUAUACAUGCUCAUAACACUCACAUUAUGCAUGACUUUGGUGCAUUAAGAGUUAUAUAAAAGAUACAAGUCAUGAGUUAUUUACAAAAUGAUAAAUUGUUCAUCAUUGGUUCAUGAAUCUGAAUAAUCCAAUAGAGACUAUAGUGCACCAUAUCUUAAAUUGAGGGAUGGUUUGUCUCGAUGAUCGGGAUAAAGUUCCCAUGAUGAAUACACUUAUAUAUAUAGUUAUACAUUAACAAGAUCUACGAUAAAUCAUAACAUAAGAUUAUCAAUUGUCAUGAUUCAUUAAGUUAUUAUAUUGUAUAGGUUCUUACUACUUUGAACGUCAUAUGAUUAUAUAUCCCCACAUAUUAGGUCACUUUGUAAACGCUAAUGGUUUCCCUCUCGUGUUUCAUAUUGUUUUUAUACCUUUUUUCAAGACGCAAGUAAGGUCUCAAUAAGAUACCUACCAACAAAAGGCUUAGAUAGCUCAAUGUUCUUAUUCUAUAAGCCACUAACUAAAGCAUGAUAAGUAUAGAUUUGAGAUAACACAUCUCCAUCCUUAAUCCUUUGAAAUUUUCUAACAUCCUCUAUGACACAUUUUCCGAUUCUAGCAUCCUAUAGGAUAAUAUUAAUUACUUGAAAAUCAAAAAGGAUUUUUUUCACUUGAGAUGAUCGUUGUCUUUCUUAAGACUAUCUGAUAAAAGCAAAUAAGGAGAGAGGAGAAUUUACCUCCAAGGUAUAAUAAUCAGACUACAAAAAUUCAAAUGUAGUCUCAAUAUUGAAAAUAAUACAUAUCAAGUAUUACCAAAAAAAUAGAAUUCCUCAAUCUCUAUUUAACAAUUGGUUUAAAAACUAAAAAACAAAGAAAAGGAGGGGGGCGGUUAAUAAAUGAGCUCUAUCAUGUCUUUUUUCCUACUUUGUUUCCAAAAUCCAAAUCCACCUAGCCAAACGCACCUCUACAAAUCCUAAUUCUGCUUGCAAUGUUUAUUUCUUCGGAAAUAAAAAGGGAAGUAACUAAAGACUUUAAAAAAGACUCAAACUGACUAUUUACGGUCCAAAAAACCGCCAAAGAAUGAGUUGCAACAGGUAUGGCACUUCACACCUCUCGCCACCUUUUCCCGAUCAGACUCUUCUUCAAUUCUCUGUCAAAAUCUCCAUUCAAAACCUUACCCAUAUCUCCAUUUUCAUCGUACCAAGUAACACCCACCAAGAAGAAAACAUUUUCUCAUAUUUCCCAAGAAUGCUCGGAUGAUCUUAACUGGGUUUAAACCGACGAUCUUUGUUACGAAUUGUUUGAUCCAAAUGUACGAUAAAUGUUCCGAUUUGGAAUUUGCUUGCAAGGUGUGUGAUGGAAUGCCUCAACGGGACAUGGUUUCUUGGAACGCAAUGCUUUUUGGUUAUGUUGGGCUUGGAGAUAUAGGAGUCAUGCAAAAUUUGUUUGACGCAAUGCUUGAACGGGAUGUGGUGUCGUGGAACUUUUUGAUUUCAGGGUACUUGCACAAUGGUGAUAGAUGUUUUUUUACAAAUGGGGAGAAUGGGUACAGUGCUUGGUCGUACUACUUUUGCUCUUGUGCUGAAGUCUUGUUCCUCUUUGGAAGACCAUGGUGGGAGGAUCCAAAUUAAUGGACUUGUAGUUAAAAUGGGUUUUGAUUGUGAUGUGGUUACUAUUGGUGACGGAUUUCCACCACGGCCACUGUUUCUACCAAAAAUGGAGAUCGAACCAACUGGGAAAAGGCUCUUUCCUUUCUCCUGCAAAAAGAUGCCCGGACCAACUGUCCGGACACACCCUCCAAAGUUUAAGUUAGUUUUUUUUCUCAAUUGACUGAAAGUAAUACCCUUUUGAGAGAGUCUCCUCACCGAUCCCCCAUUUUCUUUCUUUUUCUCCUCCCUGUUUUUAUAUGAAGCAGAGGGAGAGUCAUGGUUGGGCUAAUGGGCCCCAUGAUGGUCAUGAUUGCGGCUUAUAGGGUGGCGGAGUGAUCAUGACACUUUUGAGGUAAUUUGGUGGCUGUCAGAGAAGCGCUCAGACGACGCUACUGUUGUCUCAAGUCUUAAUCAUCAUCAUGUGGGAUACGACAGGUGGCGUGAGAGGCUUGGAAACUGUCCCAUCAAUCGCAUCUUGAGUUAAGAAUGGCAUGAUGACUAUUGAGGGACUGAGUCAAAGGUGCUGCUCGAGCUGCUGUUCUGAUUCUGGGCGAUCAUGGUUCCCGAUUGGCUAGCAGAUCCUUCCGAGUAGGAUAUAUCCGGAGAAGUUGAAUCGACAGUUUUCCGGACUACAUGAGCCGGACAUCGUGGUUCCAGAUGAAGAGCGCCCGGGGGAAGACCAACCAUCAUCCGGAUAGAAAUGUGCUUAGUGCCAUAAUGCGAUGGUGACACGUGUUAGACGGGGAUGCAUCCACGUGGGCGAAUGGGGAAAGGCCACGUGGCGAUUCCGGGAGGGAUACCACAAUUGCGCCUUUUAUACCGCUGAUGAUGUCUGUACAAAAAAGGCGGGAUAAAAAUGUUGUCUUUUCAAAGGUUUCCUUCUCCCUACAUAACGUAACGACACGUGUCACUUCCCCCAAAAAGGGUAUUCAUGAUGAGCUCCACCCUCGAAAUUUAUGCCAAUGGCGUGUCGUUUUGGAACUUGGCACGAUUAGGAUCCUUUUCGUUUGGGGUUCCUAGGGAUUUCAUCCCUAUAAAUAGUGGCUUAACUCCUCCCAAGAACAUUUUUGCUUCGUUACUGGCUUUGUGGAAUUUCUUGGCCCUUUCACACAACAGAAGCUUAACUCACGGUGCCUGCAUUUUAACUGAUUUUCGCUAUCUUCUGAAAGGUAUGUCUUUCCGCCUUUGUCUCUCUUUCCGCCCACUGUUUGUAGCAAUGCCUGCUUGUGGUUGGGGAAUGAACAGUUGGGGCGAGAAUAAACAGUGAUGGUUGUUUCUGCGAGAGUGGGAAAUGUGGGGUGAAAGUCCCACUAGGGUUGGGCUGCGUUAGGCAUUGAUAGAACAUAUUGGGGGUGCUCUAGUGCUUUUUGGGAUAUUAUUCCCCUCCCAGAUGCAUCGAAAGGGUGGCUUUGGGUUUGUAAGGCGUGGGGAAUAGGUUUUUUACUAGGGUUAGACUUUGGAUACAUGAAGUCGAGGCUUGUGGUUCAGGAUGUACCUAUGAUGGAUGUGUCCUCGUUGAAGUGUUUUGAGUUUUGUUUGAGCGAUCGCAUUCUAAAGGGAAUCAUUAUAUUAUGCAGGUAUUAUUCAAUCGAAGAUGCCUCCAAAGAGAGAUAUUGUGGCUUCGGGAGUGUCCACUCAGGGCGGAGCAAUCGUUCGGGCAGAUCAGAGUCCGGCUCGUCCUUUUCUGAAUAAGCCUACUAAACUUUUGAAUGAACACAAGUUUUGAGAGCGCUUUCAAAUCCCUAACGGUGUAUUCAUCCGGCUUGUGGAAGGUGGUCCUGUUUCUACUGAGAAUGAUGGGGACCACACCAUCUGCUUUACUAAGGAACAGUUCAACGCGGGGCUCCGUCUUCCUCUUCCCUCUCUUUUCAAGUAGUUUCUUCACUACACGAGAAUUCUUCCUUCUUACCUUCAUCCCAAUGUGAUUCGGGUGCUGAUGGGGUGUAGCGUUCUAGAUAUGUUGUUUCACUUGGAUCUCUCAUUGCUAGAGGUUCUUUUUGUAUAUUCCAUAAAGAAAGGGAAGAAUGAUAUUUUCAGAUUGGCUACCAGCAUCCCAUCCCUUCGACUGUUGAUCGAACUUCCGGAUUCAAUAAAAGGGGCUACAAGAGGGCAUGUGUUGGUCAAGGGUCCAUGGGCAGGACUGAUGGUGCAUCUGGAGAAGGAAUUUUCGCUAGUUUGCUCGUUGAGGAUCCUAGGUGAGAACAACUUUUUGAAUAUCUUGCUUCAAACUGUCAUGCCAAAACCAGUUAAUUAAUCGAGGUUGUUGAGGUAGUGCGUUUUGUUGAUGCAGGCGCGGACAGGAGGGGUCGCCUGGUUGAAUGGGUGGAAAAAGCCUUAUUCCUCCGCCUGAACAAGUUGUUCGAGAUUGCGCCAAGUGAGAGGAAUUACCAGACAUUGCUUUCCAUCCGAAAUUUGGCGACAUUGGCUCAGGACUCCCAACCAUAUAUUCCCAAUAUCAUCCCCAGGCGGUUGCCCAAAAAUGUGGUAGCUGGGGAGCAUUUUGUGCUUAAAGACCUCCCAUUUUAUGUGGAGGCACGUGAGGUGGACGCCCAAGCUCGCCAAGAGCGCCUCAGCCACAGGGAGGAGAGGAGGCAAGAGGGGACUCUAAGAAGGGCCCCUAGUGAGAAGUCCCCGGCGUUGCGCCAGUCGGCUCGUCCCCUAGCGGAGAAGAAGAAGAAGGUUGCUGCCAAGGGGAUUGUAAUCCGAUCUUUGGUUCUUUCGUCCUCUUCUGCCUCAAAUAGUGAGUCUAGCCUUCCGAGACGCAUGCUCGGCGCCAACGAGUCCGGGCCUUCCAUUCCUACGCACGAGCAUUUGGCACUUUCGGUUGGAGAAGAGUCGGAGGUGAAUCAACCCGUGUCGCCCUGCUCGGAACCAGAGGAUGAUCAGCUUGCGAUUGCUGACAAGCUGGUUGCGAAGGAGCUUGGGCCCUCUUCCAUAGAGCCAGUGCCCCCUAUGCUCAUUGUCAUAGAUGAGGCGGCCGCGGAGGGGAUGAAAUCACCUUGCCGCGAGCCGGACCAUCUUGCUAUUGUGGUGGUGGAUAAGCCCAUUGCGAGGAGGCCAGUUGCUCCACACGACUUACAAGCGGGCUUCAGCAAGAGGCUUCAAGGGCGCCUUCGUGAGGCUAUGGAAUCAAUUUGUUCCUCUGUCCACGGGGACCAGCUGGAGAGGAUUCGAAGAGAUGAUGGGUUUGGACCAAUGCCUUCUCCGAAUACCGCACAACCCGGAGGCCCUGUGCAUGAGGAAGGAGAAGCGAGUUCGGCUUUAAGGGAAGAUUCCGGACAUAGCACUCCAACGGGGGAAGACUCGGCUAAUGAAAUUGCCCGUAUCUCUGUCUGCCCCCCCCCCUCCCCCAACUCCCAACUCAUUGUAAGACAAGUUCUAAAGGAAUAUGAGGCUAAGGAUGAACGCAUGGCUAAGUAUUUGUUGAAAGUCCAAGAAUCGCUGAAUUAGCUUGUGAGAGUGGGCCAUUGAGAAAAUCCUGAGGAUAGAGAAUAAGCAAGCUGACGCCUUAUCCGGAGUAGCCGCAACGUUUCCUAUUAAAGAANNNNNNNNNNNNNNNNNNNNNNNNNNNNNNNNNNNNNNNNNNNNNNNNNNNNNNNNNNNNNNNNNNNNNNNNNNNNNNNNNNNNNNNNNNNNNNNNNNNNCCCCCCCCCCCCCCCCCAGCUACGCGGAGAUGGAGGAAAUGCUGAGGCGAAUCCCUCAUUCCCUUGACGCUGACUUGCCCCCUACGAAGAUGUUUGCCCAUAUCUUUGUCUGCAGCUACGCGGAGAUGAAGGAAAUGCUGAGGCGAAUCCCUCAUUCCCUUGACGCUGACUUGCCCCCUACGAAGAUGUUUGAGACUGCAAAAAUGGUUCUUGUUUCAUUUUUUUACUAGUAUCUGUCAUUUUGACAUGUACUUAGUGUAGCAAAUGUUUCAACUCAUUAUUUACGCUUCUGAUCGCAGCUAGUGAACGGUAUCCGUGGCAUGGUUCAGCAGCGCGAACUUUUUUCAAAUUUGCUGAGAACUGCUGAUCACAUGAAGGCCUUUGUUUCCCACCGCAUGGGAGGGGAGGAACGGCUAUGCCUGAGAUUGGAGCAAUCUGAAGCUAAUUUAGCCGCUGCUGGAAGGUUGCCACGGAAAAUGCUAAGGCCCUAAAAAGGUUAAAAUGAGACAAUGAGGCCCUCCGGGUCGAAUUGAAAAGGGAAAAGACCCAGGAGGAGGUCUUAGGGGCUAGGCUCGGUAAUGUGGAGCACGAAAGGCCCGGCUGGAGGAGAGCGUGAAAAAUCUCCAAACCUGCCUGGCAAAUGAAAAGAAACAGAAGGAAGAUUUACAGCUACACCUUGUAGCCCAAAUGGAAGAACUGGAGGCUGGGUUAGCCGAACAGAGGAAGAAACUUGAGAUGGAAUAUCAGAAGUAGGUAGACGAGAUGUACUUCUUUGGCUAUCGUUGCUGCAUGAAGAACAAUGGUAUCAAGUGCGAUAUUCCUUCAAUUCCUCCUGGUGAAGAAGAUAAGAUACGCCGCGGCCCUCCUCGAUGAUCUUUUUAUCUUUGUAAAUUUUGUUGUAAACUCCUUCUGAGAACUUUUUCGGAUGACAUUUUUGUAACUAAAGCUCUUUAAAUAAAUAAAGUACAUUAUUCAUAUACUUUUUAUAUCUUUUCCUUUAUUUAUAAUAUUGCUUCAAAUGGGCUAUGUUCCAAGGACAGGGUAGAGGGGUUCCACUUAAUGUUUGCAAAUGAUAAGACCCAUUUUCAUUCCUUUUUGAAACCACAUAGGGCCCUUCCCAAUUGGCUUGGAGUUUUCCGGCUCCUUUCUCGAUAGUGUUCUCAAAAAAUUUUCUUAGAACCAGCAUGCCUUCUUUGAGAAAGCGGGAACACACCUUUUUGUUAUAGUAUGCCGCUGCUUUCUACUGAUAGGUUGCCAUUCGGACGGACGCUAUCUCCCUUGUAUCAUCUGCCUAGUCUAAGUGCCUCGCGAGCUCCUAGCUUUCCUUUCUUUGCCCCUGAACGGCAGUCCAGGCCGUGGGCAUGUCAAUUUCUGUUAGUAUGAUUGCGUCUACGCCGUAGGCCAGGGCGAAUGGGGUGUUCCCUAUCGGUCGUCCGGGCGUGGUUCAAUAGGCCCACAAGACGUCGGGCAAUUCUUCUAUCCACCUUCCUUUGGCCUUCUCCAAUCGUUUUUUCAAUGCAGAUAGUAGGGUUUUGUUGGUUGCUUCUGUUUGUCCGUUGCUUUGUGGGUAUCGCGGCGUGGAAUAUAGAUUUUUGAUACUAAGCUCCAAGCAGAAAGACUUGAAGAGGGCACUAUCAAAUUGUGGGCCGUUAUCGGCUACAAUUACUUGGGGGAUUCCGAAUCGGCACACAAUGUUUUCCCAUACAAACUUUGAGACAUCCUUGUCUUUGAUGCUCGCAUAAGCUUUAGCUUCCACCCACUUACUGAAAUAGUCUGUGGCCACCAGCAAAAACUUCUUUUGAGCGGCCGCGGUGGGUAAUGGGCCUACAAUAUCCAUCCCCCACUGCGCGAAUGGCCAGGGACUCAUCACCGAGUUCAGUGUCUCAACGGGCAUGUGUGGAAUGGGUGCGUACCUUUGGCACUUGUCGCAUUUUCUGGCGUAAGCUUCUAUAUCUUACUUCAUAGUGGGCCAAUAAUAUCCUUGCGAGUGUGCUCUGUGUGCUAGAGUCCGGCCGCCUGAAUGGUUGCCACAAACGCCCUCGUGUAACUCGGAUAGCACGUAUUGGAUCUUCGGUUGCGUCAGGCAUCUGAGGUACGGGCCUCCGAAGGAUCGCCUAUAGAGGUCAUUUCCCAUUAGAGUGAAGCAGGCAGAUUGCACACGGAUUUUGUGGGCGUGCUUAGGGUCUUUAGGUAAUGUUCCUGCCCGGAGAUAGGCCUUUAUGUCGACUGUCCAGUUUUGAUCCUCAUUAUCAAUGCUGCAAACAUGAGAUUCAGCGAUGGAAGGGUUCGCUUGAAUAUAUAUAGGUAGCAGCAUUGAUUCUUUAAUAGGAAACGUUGCGGCUACUCCGGCUAAGGCGUCAGCUUGCAUGUUCUCUAUCCUCAGGAUUUUCUCAAUGGCCCACUCUCCUAGCUAAUUCAGCGAUUCUUGGACUUUCAACAAAUACUUAGCCAUGCGUUCAUCCUUAGCCUCAUAUUCCUUUAGAACUUGUCUUACAAUGAGUUGGGAGUUGCCGUGGAUUCUGACUUUGGAGGCCCAGAUGGUGGUAGCCAGGUUUAGACCGGACAUGAUGGCCUCAUAUUCCGUUUCGUUAUUUGACGCAUGAAAUCCCAGAUAGAUACACCGUUCCAACCGCUCCCCUAUUGGCGACUCAAGAAGGAGGCCGAUACCUGAUCCGGACUUUCGGGAAGCCCCAUCAACGUGCAAAAUCCACCAUCUAGCCUUACCGGAUUCCCUGUCUGGGGUAGAUGGUUGGGGCACUUCGGCGAUAAAAUCUAACAUGACUUGACCCUUCAUGGACAAUCUUGGUUGAUAAUCAAUCCCGUACUCACUUAGCUCUAUUGCCCAUUGAAGCAUUCUACCUGAUAUGUCUGAUUUAUGUAGGACGUUUCUGAGCGAUUGGUUAGUAAGCACAAUGAUGAGAUGAGCUUGGAAAUAAGGUCGUAGCUUUCGAGCGACUAUACGUAGGGCUAAGACUGUUUGUUCCAUCCUUGAGUAUCUUGUUUCUACAUCAGCCAAUGCUUUACUGAUGAAGUAUACGGGUCUCUGCUCUUUGGGCGAUAAGGAAAGAAACAAAACCACACUAAUAGCCCAAUCAGUCACUGCCAAAUAUAAAUAUAAUCUUUCACCGAGCUGGGGGCUGCUUAGGAUGGGGGGCUGAGCGAGAUAUUGCUUGAUUUCCUUAAAAGCGUUUUGGCAGCCAUGUGUCCAUCCCGAUUUAUUGGCUUCCCUGAGCGCUAAGAAGAAAGGCCUUAGUCUGUCGGUAAAUCGAGCUAUAAAUCGGCCGAGUGCAACAAGCUUUUCAGUUAGGCGUUGCAACUCCUUUUUGCUUGUUGGCGCGGGUUUGUUCGUGACGGCCUUGAUUUGGUCUAGAUUGACUUCAAUUUCUCUUUGGGUAACCAUGAAUCCUAGGAAUUUCCCUGAGCUUACACCGAAGGCACAUUUGGCCGGGUUGAGUUUCAUGCCAUAUUGCCUCAACAAGUAAAAAAACCUUUUGCAAAUGCUGAGCAUGCUCGUUCCGAGUUUUGCUUUUGACCACCACAUCAUCAAUGUAUACUUCUAUAAUGUCACCAAUUAGUGGUUUAAAAAUCUUAGUCAUCAGCCUUUAGUAUGUGGCUCCGGCGUUCUUGAGUCCAAAUGACAUUACUUUGUAACAAUAGAGUCCUUGGGGAGUUACAAAAACGAUUUUUUCUUCAUCCUCAGGCGCCAUGGGGAUCUGAUGAUACCCGGAAAAAGUGUCCAAAAAGGAUAGCAUGCCAUGUCCGACGGUAGCAUCUACUAUCUGAUCAUUCCGUGGCAACGGGAAGCUAUCUUUGGGACAUGCGUCGUUCAAGUUGGUAUAGUCUACGCACACUCGCCAUUUUCCUUCCUUCUUGGGGACCACCACUACGUUUGCUAGCCAUUUCGAGUAUUCAACCUCUCUUAUGAACCCGGCUUCUAAUAACUUCUCCACCUCGUCUUGAAUAACCUUUUGUCUGUCUGGGUGAAACCGCCAGACCUUUUGUCGAACGGGCCUUGAUGAGGUCAAGGUGUUAAGCCGAUACGAGGCUACUACUGGGUGUAUCCCUGUCAUUUCGGAGUGGGACCAAGCGAAGACAUCUCGAUUUUGUUGAAGUACAUUUUAAAGCUCCUGUUCUUCUUCUGAUCGUAAGAGGGAGCUAAUGUGUGUAACGCGCCCUUCCGUCUCUGAAAUUUGAACGGCUUUGAGGGGGUUCGCUGCCGGAGGAUCCUUGUCCACCGGGUUCUGUAAUUGCUAUUGGUCAGGCGGACUCGCUUCCUUGGGAGAUUGUUCGUGGUUGGUGUUGGGCCCGGUUUCUCGAGUGAUUUGGUAACAUUGUCGAGCAGCAAGUUGGCUCCCGUAGAAAUCAACCUGCCCAUUUUGAGUGAUGGAACUAACCACUUGAUGAUAUGUGGAUGGAAUGACCUUCAUGCUAUGCAGCCAAGUGCGCCCCAAGAUGGCAUUAAAGGGGGAUAAAUCUUCAACCACGGAAAAAAAUGACAUUCAGGAUGACGGGUCCAGCUUGAAUUGGUAAUAUAAUGUCACCGAGGGAAGUUGUGGAAGCUCCGUUGAAUCCGAAUAAUAUUCUUCCUGGGUUCUCCAAGAUGGAAGGUAUGAAUCCCAUCUGUUUGAUAACUGAUACUUGUAAAAGAUCUGCCGAACUACCCGGAUCGACUAGGAUCCUCUUCACAUCAAAAUCUCUAAUUCCCAGCGUUAAGAUGAGAGCAUCCUGAUGGGGCUACAACACUUGAGCGGGAUCUAUUGGAGGAAAAACGAUAGAUCCAUCUACCGGGUGGACGCUCCCACUGGCUAAUCCCGGUCGGAUGGAGCUUUUAUGCUCCCGGACAAUGGCUGCUCGCAGCAAUCUUUGUCUUUUCCUUCUAGAGUUGUAUUCUUCAUCGAGGGGUCCUCCGUGUAUGUAGUCGAUAACGGCUCUAACAAGAGCUGUAGGGGCCCGUGGGCCAUGAUCACGAGAGGAUUCCCCACUUUAAGCGGCAGCACGGACAUAAUGCUUUAAAUGUCCUUUUAGAAGAUCAUCCACUAAAAGAUGGUGACUUCGGCAUGCUUCUGUGGUGUGUUCAUGAUCCUUAUGGUACGCACAUUUUUUGCUGUGAUCUCUCUCCAUGGGAUUUGAUCUUAUUGGUCCAGGCCAUCUGAAGUCGGGCAACUCGCGAACCACAGGAAGCAGCUUCUCAUAUGUUAAGGUAAGAGGCGUGAGGGUAAUUGGCGGGCGUCACUCGACCUGUCCCCUGUUGGAUGGCCCUUGUUGACUCGAAGACUUGAAGUUCCUGAUGGUGUCGUUCCUUGCGGCCUGACCAGCGACUAGCACUUGCUGUGUGGUGGCUCGGACGUCGUCCUCCAGCAUGGAGUAUUUGUUUGCUCGUCGAAAUAGAUCAUCCAUGGUUGUGGGAGGUUUCUUAGCAAGAGACUCAAAGAAGGGGGUCCCUGGACAUAUGCUUAGUUUAAAAAUUUGUAGGACGACAUCCAUGCUGUAAGAUUCCACUUGCAAGAUAGCCUGUCCGAAUCAUUUCACAAAUUCCCUCAAGGUUUCAUUUUCUUGCAUCUUGAUAUUUUGUAGGGUGCUGAUAUUUUGUUUGUGUCUGGCUGAGCACAGGUACUGUCCCACGAAAACUUUGGACAGGUCCCUGAAGUUGUCAACCAAGUUCAUAGGAAGUCGAUGAAACCAUGAGAAGGCUUGGCCUUGGAGGUUGGCUGGGAAAACUUUGCACAGUAGCAUGUCAUUCCCUAUGUCAAGGGUCAUAAGCUGGCGAUAGUGCAUGAUGUGGUCGAAUGGAUCACUAGAUCCAUCAUAUGUAGAAAAUUUUGGAACGAUGAACCCUCGUGGGGGCUCAUAGUUAAUGAUGCGAGAACUGAAAGGCAUGGAGAGCAUGUCAUCUAGUCGCCUACUGAUGGAGCUUGGAGGUGCUGCGUUUAGGGGAUCUCUGCCGACCCUAAGCACCAGUUGGUGUGUGGCAUGCCCCUGUGAAAUAGGCGAAGCUGAGGGUCUAGGAUGUGACGCCGGUGUUGCGACGGUGUAGGGUCUAUUUUUGCUGGGAGCUUGAGGUCUUAAUCGUGCGCGCAUUGCGUUGGAUAUUUGAGGUCUCUUCUGACAUUGUCUUUUUUAUGAAACUCAAGUAGAGUCUGAACUUUCUUCCCGUUGUUCAUGACGAGUGGGCCUUGGCUCUUCUCUAGGCCAUUCCGCGUGUGCAUCAAGGGGAGGACUUGCAUCCCUGAGGUGCAUAGCUUCCUAGUUGAAGCGGGAAUUCCUUGGCUGCUGGCAACAUGGAGGUUCAGAGGAUACUUGGAUCCUCAAGACGUCAUUUUCUUCCCUGAGUCUUCUCGUUUCUUGAAGUAAGGCUUGCACCUGUCUUUCAUUUUCUCUCUGUUGUCUAUCCAUGUUAUCUCACCAUUCAAAGUAACCUUCUUCGCCUCUAGUAGAAGAACGACUUCUUGAAGGUGUGGACAUCCUUGCCAAAGGAAGGUUUAGGGGCUACUGAAAAUGCUCUUUCCCACAGACGACGCCAAUGUUGGUGACAGAUUUCCACCACGGCCACUGUUUCUACCGGAAAUGGAGAUUGAACCAUCUGGGAAAAGGCUCCUUCCUUUCUCCUGCAAAAAGAUGCUCGGACCAACCGUCCGGACACACCAUUCGAAGUUUAAGUUAGUAUUUUUUUCUCAAUUGACUGAAAGUAAUACCCUUUUGAGAGUCUCCUCACCGAUCCCCCAUUUUCUUUCUUUUUCUUCUCCCUGUUUUUAUAUGAAACAGAGGGGGAGUCAUGGAUGGGCUAAUGGGGCCCAUGAUGGUCAUGAUUGCGACUUAUAGGGUGGCGGAGUGAUCAUGACACUUUUGAGGCGAUUUGAUGGUUGUCAGAGAAGCGCUUAGACGGCGCUACUGUUGUCUCAAGUCUUAAUCAUCAUCACGUGGGAUACGACAAGUGGUGUGAGAGGCCUGGAAACUGUCCCAUCAAUCGCAUCUUGAGUUAAGAAUGGCAUGAUGACUAUUGAGGGACUGAGUCAGAGGUGCUGCUCAAGCUAUUGUUCUGAUUCCGGGCUAUCAUGGUUCCUGGUUGGCUAGCAGAUCCUUCCGAGUAGGAUAUAUCCGGAGAAGUUGAAUCGACGCCUUUCCGGACUACAUGAGCCAGACAUCGUGGUUUCGGAUGAAGAGCGCCCGGGGGAAGACCAACCAUCAUCCGGAUAGAAAUGUGCUUAGUGCCAUAAUGCGAUGGUGACACGUGUCAGACAGGGAUGCAUCCACGUGGGCGAAUGGGGAAAGGCCACGUGGCGAUUUCGGGAGGGAUACCACAGUUUCUGGAAGUGCUUUACUAGAUAUGUAUGCAAAAUGUAAGAAAUUAGAUUUUUCAAUUCAGUUUUUUCAUGGUAUGCUUGAAAAGAAUUGGGUUUCUAGGAGUGUCAUAAUUGCAGGUUGUGUUCAGAAUGAUGACCCCAGGGGUGGUUUAGAAUUGUUCAAGGAGAUGUAGAAAGCAGGGAUUGGGGUGAGCCAAUCUACUUUUGCUAGUGUGUUAUAUCUGCAUUAAGAUUAGGCUCCCUAAUUGCAUGGUCAUGCAUUAAAGACUGAUUUCGGGACUGAUGUCGUAGUAGGAAUUGCCACUCUGGAUAUGUACACGAAGUGUAACAAUUUGUCAGAAACUCAAAAGCUAUUUAAUUUUUUACCGAAUCAUAACUUGCAAUCUUAUAAUGCCAUUAUUGUUGGGUAUGCUCGAAGUGACAAAGGUAUGGAAGCUUUAGGGAUGUUUUGGCUUUUGUGAAAGUCAGGUCUUGGGUUAGAUGAAGUUAGUCUAUCUGGUGCUUUUAGGGCUUGUGCAGUCAUUAAAGGGGAUCUGGAGGGGCUUCAAGUACAUGGAUUAUCAAUGAAGAGUUUGUGUCAAUCAAAUAUGUGUAGCAAAUGCCAUCUUGGACAUGUAUGGUGAAUGUAGAGCUCUGGUUGAAGCUUGUCGUAUGUUUGAGGAAAUGGUCAGCAGAGAUGCUGUCUCUUGGAAUGCAAUCAUUGCAGCUCAUGAGCAGAAUGGAAAUGAAGAAAAAACACUUUCCCUAUUUGUUUGGAUGCUCCAAUCAGGGAUGAAACCUGAUGAGUUCACUUAUGGUAGUGUUUUAAAAGCUUGUGCAGGUUGACAAGCUCUGUACUGUGGCAUGGAGAUCCACAAUAGGAUUAUAAAAGGGAGAAUUACCCUUUAAGGGUAGACUAGGAAAAAAAAUUAUUGAAAAGGUUGAGUAGAUUUGAUAAUUCUUAUGAAGGCCCUACAUUUUUAUUAGACCAAUUUACCCUAAAUUUCUCAAAUCCAUUUACCAAUUGAAAAGUACAUCUUCUUUCCCAGCAAUUAUAAAGUAUAAGUACAAUACAAAUGCAAUAUAGUUACAAUGAAAAAAUAUUAACAUUACAAUAUACUAAAAUGAAAAAAAAUACUGAAUUCGUUUUUUACUGAACUAACAUUUUUAGGCUAUCAUGUUGUAUUCCUAUCAUAAAGCAUCCUUGCAAGCCAAAAUUAUAAAAAGACAACAAAAAUACACUAUUGUAAUUUCAAUACAUAAAGUUAUUGAUAGUAAUCCAAUGAUGUAUAAAAAAAAUCUAUAAAUUAAUUUUUUUUAUAUAAAAAAAUAUAAAUGUACAAUAAAAAUACACUACAAUUACAAUAUAAAUACAAUAACAUUACAAUACAUUACGAUAAGGUAAAAUUUUGAAAAUUUCAAAUUUCUUAUGAAACUGGGCAGUUGUGGGUUUUUUAAAAUAUAAAUAUAAAUAUACAAUAAAAAAUACACUACAAUUACAAUAUAAAUAUAAUAACAUUACGAUAAGGUAAAAUUUUGAAAAUUUCAAAUUUCUUAUGAAACUUGGCAGUUGUGGGUUUUUUGGCAUAUACAUGUCUCAUAUACAACAAAUAUUGUUCUUUAUUAUAUAGAAUAUGUCUCAAUUGAUUAUAAUUUUCAGUUUUCAAUGAAAAUCCAUGUUCAUAAAUACCCAAACAAAGUGGUUCCAAACAAGCAUAAAACAACUAAAUUUUUUUUUUCUUUUACCAUGUCAAACAAGUCUUAACAACAAAAUUAAAGUGCAAACUUUUUCAAUGGAAAUCAAUAAUAAUCAUAUCAAACAACCCACCCGGAAAAUAAAUUAAAAAUAAAAACACAUCUUCAAUAUGACCAAAAUAAUAUAAAAAAAUUUAAAUAACAUUUUACACAAAAAAAAAGUAAUUUCUUUCUCAAAACCUCCUUCAAUAUUUCAAAUCUAAUAUUUUAGAUCUACAUUGUUAAAAUUAAUAACAGUUUUUUCCUUCCAUCCAAAUUUUAAAUUAUUUAUUUAUUUAUUUAUUUACAUAAACGGACAUAUUUUUGUUUUUUUGGCAUUAAAAAAAAAACUCUUACCUUUAAUGGAUUUCUUGUUAGAUUCACACAAAAAUACAAGCUUUGUAGAGACGGUCCAUAUCAUAACCCAAAGUGCUAGAGUUUUUUCAUCUUUCCCUCUUUUCUUCUUCAAUACUAAUAAGUUGCAGCUGGUUAAAGAAGAAUUUUUUUUUUUUUUUUUUACUAUUGCUUUUCACUUAUUAAGGGUAGUAUUGACAUUUAAACAAAAUAAAGAUUAUCAUAAUUUCACCCUACCCUUCACCCUUGUCGUUCAUAUGUUUUCCUAACCUACCCUUAAGGUAAUUCUCCCAUUAUACAAUCCAGGACGAGAUUGGACAGUUUUGUGGGAAUUGCUCUUACUAAUAUGUCCAACAAGUGUGGAAUGAUGGAAAAGGCAUAGAAAGGUGAUGAAAAGUGUCGUGUUGGGAAUGUGUCUUUUGCUUUUAUUUAUUUAUUUUUAAAUAUUAGUCUAAUAUUCUGUAAAGAAAACUUUUGAAACGCUUUUUGUUUUUUAAUAUUAUUGUUAUUAUAAUAUUAUAAUGGUGGGUGUAAACAAGUGCAACUUUUGUUUUGAAUAUUAUUAUACUUUUUACUUUUAAAUAUUAUAUGGUGUGUUGAAACUAAUAUUUUCUUAAGAUAUUGAGCCGGAAAGGUUAUCAUGAAUUCAUUGGUCCGGAUUCAUGAUUGAAUCGUAGUUGAAUGGGUUACGCAAUAAGUAUAUAUUUUGUAUUUCAUUAAAAUUAAAAAUAAUUAUAAAAUAUUUAAAAUAUAUAAUUAAAUUUUAAUAUUAUUUAUUCAUUUUUAUGUGAGUGUAUUAAUGGUUUAAAUUUAUUAAACAAAUUUGUGGACUCGUAUUUUCACGUGCGUUCCUACUCGAUGGUGUGACUCGCUUUUUUAUUUGUUUAGUGAAAAAAUUGAUUUUUAGAAAUAGACUUGGAGUCGCCACUUAUUUUUAUUUUAUUCUUGAAGGGAAAAACAAAAUAAGAAAGAAAAACCCUAAAUGUGACUCCUUAAGGAAAAAAAAAAAAAAACAGGUCUGUAAAAAAUCGAGUCUGAGUUCGGGGAUCAAGUUACUUAUUGGAAAGGUACGGUGGUGAGACGUAACACCCCUCUAAGCCCAUAUAUAUUCAAUCUAUACUAAACUAAUUGAGGGGAUUAUAGCAAUUAACUAAUUAAACAUGGAUACCAAAAUUAAUAACAUAAAUCAAUAUGAACAAAAAAGUGAUAACAAAAUAAAAUGACAACAGAAUUAUGCAAAUUGAUUUAUUGAACUAAUUAAAAAAAUAUUUGAAAAAAAAUUAGUUUUGUGAAAAUUUCAAAGGAUUUUAUCAAAAACAAUUUUGAAUGGGUGAUUUCAAUUUAUUUAAUUACAAAACAUUUUCUUCAAGUGAUUUGAUUCGAUUUCAUUUGUAUUUAAUUUUCAAGAAAAGUUAUUUACACUUAUUGUAUCAAAAAGAAUUUAUUACAAAAUUUCAAUUUGGGCACAAAGAUUAUUUUUACUUGUUUUUACUAUAAAAUAAUGAUUUUUUACAAUUUUAUUUGCAAAAGUAUUUUGAUUCAUUUUCAUUUCUUUAAAAAAAAAAAAAAGUGAUUUUCACAAAUUAUUUAAAACGACAUAACUUUAUUUGCAAAAGAAAUUUUAAUUAAAAAGAAAAACAAAGAUUUAAAUCCUCUAUUUCUAAAAAAAACACCUUUAAUCCCAUUUUAAUUAAGGAAAAAGAAUUUAUUUUAAAAAUAUUUUUAGACAAUUUAAUUAAAAAUUUAUUUUUGGGAUAACUUUAUUUACAAAACAAUUUUUGAACAAUUUUUAUUAAACAAAGAAAAUUUUGGACAAUGUUAUUAAAAACAAUUUUUCGAAUUCUAUUAAAAAAAUUCUUUUGGAUUUUUCUAAAUGCAUUUUUGUGAAUUUUUAUAAAUAAUAAUAAAUAAAUAAAAUUUUCUUUUAUUAAAAAUAAUAUUUAAAAUUGUUGUUUUAUCAAAACACAUUUACUGAAUUCUUCCUCUCGUUUAAACAAAAUUUCUAUUUUGUUCGAUAUUCAAUUCUGUACACACUCAGUAAGUAUAUACAAACGAAUAUUUAUAAGAACUAAUAAAAAUAAAACCAAAUAAAAGUGGAAAAUAAAAUAUGUACCCAAAUAAACUUACACUAAGCUCCACGUGUCAUCAAUUCGUACUCAACCAAUAAGAUUGUAGAAUGGGCUCAUGCAAAAACAAAAAUAACACAAAUGUAAAUAUUCAAAGAUGUGCAAAAUCCCAAACAAAUAUUCAAACCCAAAUUCCGAUUUCAAAUUAGUCCCAUAAAUUUCGCCAAUUUAAAAUGAGCCCAAAUUACUAUAGGUCUUAACCCAGAACAUCCAAAUUAAUAACAAAAAAUACAAACAAAAUCAACAAAACCUAAAAUUGGAUAAAUUAAAAUAAAUGCUACUAUGUCUAAACUUAAAAUUCCAUAAUCUAAGUCUAAUUUAAUAUACACCACAAUUGUUUCAUGUCCAAAUUAAAUAAUUCAAAUUGGUCAAGCUCAUACCAAAUAUUCAAAUAAUCCAAUAAAUCUCACCCACAUUCUGGGCCCCAAAAUUCACAUCAAUUAACAAGCCCACAUAAAAAAUAUACAUGGUCAAGGGAAAUAAUAUUUCAAGCCCAAUCCAAUAAGCCUAAACAAAUAACAAAUUAACAAUAAACCCAAAUCCAAAUAAACAAUAUGCAAUUGAUGUAAUCCAAAUAUCCCAAGUUAAUCACUAAAUGUAACAUAAUCACAAAACCAAAUUAACAAAUUACAAAUUAAUCCAUCAACAAUAAAUUAACUCAAAUUUCAUAUUAAUUAACAAAGCCCAAACAUAAGCCCACAAACAAACAUAAAUACACAAACCUAAUUUCAAUAACAAUUACUAUCAAAAUCAAAUCAAGAAAAAAUUUAAAAAGUAAUAACAAUAAUAAUAAUAAUAAUGGGAAAUGGGUUUUACGGGAAAGUGAGGAAAUGAGAAAAUGAAAGAAAAUGGGAAGGGGUCACCGGCCGGUAGUGGGCUUGCUGGUGGCGGCUGACUGGUGAUCUACCGACAGUGGCAGUAUAGAGAGAAGACAGGGAGAAAAUAAAAUGCAAAUAGGGGGCCGGAAAGAUGAAGAGAUGAGUGGGGAGCUUGGCUGGUGGUGUUGGGGGGAGCAUAAAGAAGAAAAAAAAAAUGGGAGAAAGGAAUAAAAAAUGGGCCAGCGUGUGCUGUUGGGGAGGGGAAAAAAAUCAAAAAGAAAAUGGAAGGGAGUUUUGCUAGGAAGACGGCCAUCGGGUGUGUUUUUAGGAAGAGUUGGAAGAAAAAGAAAAAAAAAACAGAGGGAAAUGGGGCAGCCGUUUUAGGUCUCUUUGGCAGAGACCAAGGUUGGAGAAAAAAAUGGAAGGGAGGGGGAUUUUGAUAGGGGGCCCGCGAUGUGGGAAUAAGGGAAAAGUGGGGGGAAAAAAUGGGAGAAAAAUAUGGGGGGAAAAAAAAGAGGGGAGAUGAGGUGGUGGCCGGUGGUGAGGGGUAUGGGAGGAGAGAGAAUGAGUGGGUGAAAAAGAGAGGAGAGAGGAGAGAGGAGAGAGGAGAGAGGAGAGAGGAGAGAGGAGAGAGAAAAAAAUAAAAUAUAAUAUAAUAAAAAAUAAAUAAAAUAAUAAAAAAUGUUGUAUAACUGUGGACACCGCAUUUCGGCUCAUGCGUUUCCCACUCGAAGGCGAGCUUGAUUUUGAUUUCGAAAAAUGAUCUUUAUUGUUUAAGAAAAAUUGAAUUAGAGUCGCCACUUAUUUUUGUUUUAUUUUUAAAAAGGUAAACAAAAUAAGAAAGAAAACCCUAAGUGCGACUCCUUAUUUUGGAAAAGGUGAUCUAUGAAAAACCGGAUUGGGUUCGGGGAUCAGGUUACUUAUCGGGAAGGUACGGUGAAGACCAUAGCACCCCUCUAAGUCCCUAAAGUCGGGUCUCUACUAAUAAAAUGAAGCUGAUGUGGUAAUUGAUGAGUAAAUCAAUGAAUAUCCCGAAUGAUCAUGCACAUAUAAGAGUCGAGACAUGCAUAGACAACAAUUAGAGGAAAAAUGGGUACAUACCUGGACAACGAACCGCCAUGCGCUAUCAAUAGAGAGGGUUAGUACACCUUAUAGAGCACAAAACAUAUCACAUGCAUCACUAAGCAGGUAUUAAAAUUGUUCGAAGGAAAACUGGAUUUUUGAAAUUCAUUUGAGAAUCGGAAUCUUAGAGAUUAUUUGAAAAUUGGAUUCUUAGGAAUUAAAUGUAAGAAUGAGAACUUUUAGAAAUUAAAUUUGAAAGAAAAUUGGGAUUUUGAAGAAUUAUUUGAAAGUUCGGGAUUUUUAAGAAAAAUUAAGUUACGAAAAUUGGGAUUAUGGGAGUUAAAUUUCGAAAGGGAUCAGAAUCGUAAGUUAUUUGAGGCGUAGAAAUUAUGAAAGUUGAUUUAUGAAAAUCGGAAAUCUCAAAAAUCAUUUGAAGACGGACUUUUUAGAAAUGAACAAAUAAAAUGGUAAUAAAAAUAAUGAUGGUAACAAGUGAGUAACUGGGUAAAUACGGUAAUUGGAACAUUAAGAACUGAGAAUUAGGUUUGGAGAUUGGACACUUGGAAUUUUAGAUAGCUAAAUUUAGAAAUCGGAAUUUUGAAGAAUUAGACUUUAAUGAUUGAGAUUUUUAAGAGAAAUAAAUGGGUAAAUAUGGAAUAAUUUUAUUAAUUAAUCAAAACGAUAUUUGGACGGAUGAAUAGUGAAUAGUGGGAUUUUGAAAAUUAAGUUUGGCAGUCGGGUCUUUGAACAAGUGGACUCUAAUUAUUGGAAUUUUUAAAAGAAAGAAAUAAGCAAACGUGGAAUUUAUAACAAUGAUAACAAAGAUGAUAUUUGAAUGAAUAAAAGUGAAUGGUGGAAUUUUUUAGUCUCAAGGUUAAAUAUGAAAAUCCGGUUUUGAAGAAUUGAAUUUUAAUGAUUGAAAUAAAUAAAUAAAUAAACACGGAGUAAUAAUACUAAUUAAAAUAAAUAAUGUUUAAACGAAUAAUAAGAGAAUAGUGGAAUUUUUCUAAUUGAGAAUUUGAAUUAGGGCGUUGGAUUUUUAAAGGAUAUGACUUUGAAUAAAUAGGUAGGUAGGGGAUUAUAAUAUUAAUUAACGAGAAUAAUAUUUAGACGAAUAAAGAUGAAUAGUAGAAUUUUUGGGAUUGAAGUUUUAAUUAAGGCAAAGGGUUUUCGAAAGAUUGGACUUUGAAAAGACAUGGAAUAAUGAUUCUAAUUGAUGAGGAUAGAAUUUAGACGAAUUGUAGAAUUUUUAGGAUUGAAAAAUUAAAUUAAGACAUGAGAUUUUUGAAGAACUAGGUUUUAAAUAAAUAGAUGAAUAUGGGAUAAUAAUCCUGAUUGAUGAAAAUAAGAUUUAAACGAAUUAGUGAAAAAUUAAAUUAAGGCAGGGGAUUUUUUGAAGGAUUAGACUUUGAAUAACUAAAUAAACAUGGGAUAAUAAUUCUAAUUGAUGAAAAUAAGGUGUAAACGAAUUAUUGAAAAAUUAAGUUAAGACAUGGGAUUUUCGAAGGACUAGACUUUAAAUAAAUAGGUAAAUAGGGGAAGAUAAUUAUAAUGAAAAUAAGAUUUAAGCGAAUUGUAGAAUUUUUAGAAUUGAAAAAUUAAGUUAGGGGGGUUAGAUCUUCGAGGGAUUAUACUUUAAAUAAGUAAAUGAAUAUAGGAUAUUAAUUCAAAUUAAAGAAAAUAACAUUUAGACAAAUAGUAGAAUUUUAGGAUUGAAAAUUAAAUUAUGACAUUGGAUCUUUUUAAAGGAUUGGAUUUUGGGUAAAUAAACUAAUAUAGGAUGAUAAUACUAAUUAACGAAAAUAAUCAUUUAAAACGGGAUAAAAAGAAUAGUGGAAUUUUUAGGAGUUUGAAAAUUAAGUUAGGACAUCGGAUUUCUAAAGGGUUGGAUUUUAAAUUAGUAGAUAAAUAUGGGAUACUAACUCUAAUGGAUGAUAAUGAGAUUUGAACUAAUUAUUGAAGAAUUAAAUUAAGACACAUGAUUUCUUCGAAAGCUUUAGACUUUAAAUAGCUAGACAAUAUAUGGUAAUAACCCUUAAUUGAUGAAAAUGGGAUUUAAAUAGAUUAUUGAAAGAUUAGAUUAGGAUAUGGGAUUUUUCAAGGAUUAGAAUUUAACUUUGAUGACUGAGAUUUUUAAAAGAUGAUAAAUAGAUGCGUACGAGGUAAUAAUAAUGAUUAACAAUCAUAAUGUUUAAACUAGUGAAAUUGAAUAAUAUAAGCUUCAAGAUAAAAAAAAAUAAUUAACAAUAAUAAUUUUUCUUUUAAUUGUCUUUAAGACGAGUUAACUAAAUGGGUAAAAACAGGGUAACAAAUAAAAGGGAAUGAUUUGAUUAAUUAAUUAUGGAUAUUAGAGGUUUUGUUUUCUUUUAAAAAGGAUUAUUUAGGAAUUGGGCAGCCUGAUGGGCUAACUUGAAGUGGGCAUGGGCCACUUUGAUAAGGGAAAUUGGCAUAAGGCCUUCAUCAAUGUAAAUGGGCCUAGGCUCCAACUUAAGCCCAGGUCCAAUGACAUCAAUGGGCAAGACUCAAGGCUCCAUCUUCAGCAUAGGCUUGGGCCUGGGCUCCAAAUUCAGACCCAAGCCCAAAGCCAUCAUGGGCAAAAACCAAGCCCGUCACCAACACAAGCUCCUUCACAGCCCAAGGCCUCUCUUUCCAUCUGGGUAACUCUUUCAGGCGAAGCCUCCACCAGCAGCGGCGUAGAAGAGAGGGGCAGGGACGGCGGCGCCGGGACGGAGAGAGGAAAGCCGUGGCGGCGGUUGUGCUGAAGCUAGUGACUGCUCACACUUCUCUGGACAAAACUCGGUCUCAGAGUGGAGUAACUCGUGGUGAGGGAGCUUGAGGAGUCGCCGCUGCUGCAAGUGUUGUCGACGUCGGAGUUGGGAGGCAGCAGAGCGUUGGAGAUGGAGAUGGAGUCGAAGUCGUUGACCGCGGAGAGAGAGAGAUGAGAAGGAGGAGGCGGAGCUAUGGGAAGGAUGAAGGGAGGAGAAGCCCCAAUGCCGCCAUUGAUUCAGCCGACUGAGCGAGCUUGAGGACGUGGGUAUGAAAGGUGGCGGCCAUGCAUGGCUAUGCAUGGCUAUGCCUGGCCUUGCGAGAGUGAGGGGAAUGGGUGUAAUGGGCAUGGAAAAUGGGUUUGAAAGACAUGGGUAUCUUUAGUGGACCAGGUGGCAGGAAGAAUGGAUUUGUGACCAUUAGAAUAUGGUAAUGAAAUUAUGAGGGAUAAAUGGUGGGUGACAGGUAAGCGGAAUGGAGAGAUGAGUUAGAUAGACGGAUGAUGGGUAGGAUGGAGUAAGAGGUGACUAAUGAGGUGCGCCAAUAACAGGGUGCGGAGAGAGAUAAACCGGCUGAAGGGAUUCAAGAUGAUAGGUAUAUGAGAUAGAGAUGUUGUCAUGUGGUGGUCAUGAAAAAAAAUGGGUAUCUAUAUGGAUACGUGCAUGGAGAUAAUGGGAUUAGUAGCGGAUGCUCCCCGUCCCAUUCAGUGGCUGCAACCAUGACCAAAAUAGUUCUCACUGCCAUCACAAUAACAAAUGACACCAAGGAGAAGUUGCUGGUCUUUAUUCCUCGCCGGUCUUUCCAGGUUCCAGUAACAGAGGAACACAAAUGGCAGAGAAGGAGCCAAAACCCAAAAGAAAACAAAGGGAAUGAUAAUAAAAGGAGAAUAAAGCAAAAAUGAACUUGAGUGUAUCACGCCUCCUUUCAGGUGAUAUCCAUGAGCUGGUUCGGGUGAGGAAACCUCAAGCUAGCGUUACAAAAUACAUGAGAAAUAGAGUCCCAUUAACUCCAAGCCAAACCAUAAGGAUAACAGCAAGAUCGACAACAACAACUAGAAAAUGAUCCAAAAAAAAAAAAUCAACGAGAUUCAACAUAUAAUCCAACCCAACUGAUGAGCAAUGCAAAACAAACCAAAAUGAGAAAAGGUUGAGAAGAAUAUGAAUCAAAGUAAGCAAGAAAAUCGCCUCAAACUCACCUGCAGCUACUCCCUUCCUAUUCUCGCCUUCUUCCAGCUUCACUCUCAAGAUCCCCAUUUUUCUCUUCUUUUUUUUUCUCUUUGUGGCCGCAGGUGCUAUCUUCCCGGGCAAGCCAUUACCUCCCUUUGCUGUUCAUCACAUCAGCAGCAUGGCUUCUCUCCCAUCGUCAGCAUGGCCGGCCGGCCAUCACGUCUUGCUACACAUCCAAUUUGGCUUUCUCCAGCAGCAAAGGGCCCCCCACCCCCCCCCCUUAUCCUAGGUGUCGCCAGCUCCUCCAGGUGGCGAGGCAUCAUCCUUGUCUUUGCUCUCUUAAGGGGAUCUACAAUAACAUAUUGCACCACUUAUCCUAACUAAUGCUGGGUUAGGCAUACAAUAAGAUAUAUCCUCUCAUCUUUUCUUCAAUCUCAUUCUAUAUCUAGAAAACCAAACAUUACCAAAGAGUUUUUGUAUUUUGUAUAUUAAAUAGAAGUCACAAUUAUAUAUAUAUAUAUAUUUUUCUAAAUAAUAAAAGAAGUGUAUCCAAACAAGCAUGAUGUAGUAUAAUUUUGAAAAUGAAAUUGUUUAUGGGGUUAUAAUAUUUGGUGGUGUUUAUUUUUUUGACUUUUUGUUGAAAAUAAUUUGUUUUCAGAAUUUAGAUUGUUUGUUUUUUUACUUUUUCAUAACUUAUUAUAAACUUUUUACUAAAUAGAAAAAGUCAAAAUAUGUAAUUUUUUCUAAAUAGAAAAAAUAACAUAUUGAUUUUUUUUACUUUUUAAUACUUAAUAAAAAUAAAAUACUAAAAAAACAAACAAUCUAAUAUUUAACACUAUUAAACAUUAACAUUCUAUUUAGAAUUAAGUAAAAAAACAAACACCUAGAUUUCAUUAAUCCCGUAUAUUCAACAUAAGAUUGAAACAUUUUGUUGCAUGCUAAAAAGAGCUGAAUAUUUAUGAUGAUUAGCUGAUGACCCUUUGACCGGUUCUUCAGUAAGAAAGAAGAGAAUCGGGCCUCUCUUUAUGACACUUGGAAAUAUAAAAAUAGCGCACACACAGUGAAUCAGGGCAUGUAUCAUUUUGAUUCUUAUUCAUACUACUUCAUGGACUCUAAAUCUCUGUUAUAAGCGAUGUGAAGUGGUUCAUUUAGAUGCUGCUGCUGCAAGUUUGGCAUCACGAAGGGCCUGGAACUUGGCAAUCAUCUUGUCUCGAGGUGGCCAGUUGUCCUUGAUUAUUGGAGAAUCCGCAAAGUCUUUCAUCCACGUCGACAACAAUGGAAACUUGUCUUCACCCACAAUUUUCAGGCCAGCUACAUCUUCCAAUAUGCUGAUCAAGUUAGCAAGCCAACCCAAUGCAAGAUCAACAAACCCAAUCCUUUCUCCACCAAAGAACUUCUUUCCCCUGAGUUCUUCUUCCAAGAACUGGAGGUUCUCCAUGGCUUCAACCAUAGCUUCCUCCUGCUCUUUACCUUCCUUAACGAAGACACCCCAAAAAAUUGAUGUAAAAACCUGCAUCCAAAACAAAAUAAAUGAAUAUGGAUCAAUAUAUAUAUAUAUAUAUACAAGGCCUUUUCCAAUUCCGUUUCAACCAAGGAACAACCUUUAUCAUCACCAAAUUUGGCCCAGAAGCGGGCCAUGGCUUUCUCGUAAGGGUCUUCAGGCAACAAGGGAGUUUCCUUCCAUGUCUCAUCAAUGUAUUCAAGAAUGACAUACGAUUCAGCGAUCGGUUUUCCAUUGUGUACAAGAACUGGAACCUUUUUGUGGGUAGGAUUAUACUGGAGAAGUGAAGGGCUCUUGUUGGAGAGAUCUUCAAAUAUGGUUUCAUACUCUACGCCUUUGAUUUUGAGAGCCCAAACAAUCCUCAGAGCAAAAGGACUUGACCAUGUUCUGAAAAGUUUCACUUCUUCCGCCAUAAUGUUUUGAUAUCUGUAAAUGAAAUAGCAGCUGAGCCUUUAUGUAUGCAUUUAGGCUGUGAAAUUUACACAAUACGAGUUCUUUCAAAAUACAUCCAAGCAAAGUAGAAAUAUUCAAACAUCAUAGCUGACGUUUGGAAAAUGAAAGUAAUGUCGAAACAUUAGUGAUGACGCUGGGAAAAUGAAAAAGUAAUAAAAGCAAACCUCAAACAAAAGCCUUCUUCGCUAUGUUUUGAAGUCUUUGGACUGAUUAAUUAUUACUUUUAGUCACAUGGUGGACCACUUCGUAAGGAUGUGUGUCACGACUCAAAUUCUAGGCAGCCCAAAACUUAAUCCAUGACCUUAGGUCAAAGGUUUUUAGGCAACCCAGAACUUGACCCAUAACCCUAGGUCAAAGGUUUGAUUCCAAUGAUUUUUCUUAAUCCAAGCUGACAGUUAACCAAAGCACCGUGGAUUUUUUUAUUUUUUUUUCUAAAAAUAAUUCACCCCAAAACUUCCUCCAACUAAAGCUCAAUAUACAAACCAAUACUCAAUAACAACAAGAGAUAGUAUUAUAUUUUUAUUUUUUUUAUAUUUUUAUUAUUGAAAUGGCAGCCUAAAGGUGGACAGCGUUUUCCUCCUCUCAGCCGACUUCCCCCUUCUGUAACUUUUUCUCCUUUCUCCUUCUAUUUCUUUUUAAAACACCACAUCACAGUGCACGCAACUUUUAUAUAUAUAUAUAUAUAUAUAUAUAUAUAUAUAUAUAUAUAUAUAUAUAUAUAUAUAUUAUUUAUUUAGUUUUUCCCUCUUUUUUUUCAAUUCAAUUUAUUUUCUUUUCUUAAUUUUAUUUUUCAACUACAGUUUACAAAUAAAUUAUCAAACACUAACAUAAAUAUUUUUAAGUUUCUCUAAUUUAUUAAUAAUUAAUUUAAUUUAAUUUUUAAUUAAAUAAUUUUAAUUUUUUUUCGUUUAUGUUUUUAAUUUUUUUAAAAAUUUCAAUUUCUUUAUAGAUCUGCAUUUUUUACUUAUGUCCCCACUUGACGGCAAAAAAAGUCUAACUGUGAUUCCUGAAAAAAAAAAAAGGUCUGUGAAAAAUCAAAGUCUGAAUUUAGGGGUCAAGUUAUCCAUUGGGAAGGUACAAUAGUGAGUCGUAACAUUCCUUUAAGCUCGUACACAUAUGGUUUCUACUACCAAAUAUAGAAAAUUGUGAACAAAUCAAUAUACACAAAAAUGAUGAUAAAAUCUAAUUAUAACAAUGCACAAAAUAAAUGACAAGAGAAUUAUAAAAAAUGAUUUAUUGAACUAAUUAACAAAAAUUCAAAAAUAAGUUUUUCAAUGAAUUUCAAAGGAUUUUAUUAAAAACAUUUUUGAAUGAAUGAUUUUAAUUUAAUUUUUUACAAACAAAAAGUUUAAAUUUAUUUGCAACAAAUUAUUUGAUUGAAUUUCAUUUGUAUUCAAUUUUUAAGAAAAUUAUUUAUGUUUAUUGUUGCUAAAAGAAUUUAUUAAAAAUAAUUUCAUAAAAAAAAAAAAGAAUUUGAUUUUAUUUAUAAGAAAAUGAUUUUUAUUUAACUUUGCUUGGAAAUGAAUUGUUAGAAUUUUAUUUACAAAAACAUUUCAAUUUAAUUUAUAUUUAGAAGAAGAUACCUUUUAUAAAUUUAUCUAGCAAGGAUAUUUCAAUUAAACAAAGAAGACUUUUACAAUUUUAUUUACAAAAAACAUCAAAAUUCAAUCUAAUUUUAUUCAUACAAAAAGAGAUUAUUAAUAGGAAAAUGAAUUUUUACAAAAUUAUUACAAAAAUGUUUCAAUCCCCUUUUAUUUACCAAAAUUUGUUUGUUGUUUGAUUUUAUUAAAAAAAAAAUUAAAAUUGUUGAAAAAAAAUAUUAUCUUUGUUGGAAAAAAAAUGGGUUAUUCAAUUUUAUUAGGACUAAAAAUAAAUAAAUAAAUAAAUAAAAUUGUCCUUGAUUUUACAAAAAGGGACUUCAAUUUAAAGGUUUCUAAUUUAGAAAAAUAAAAAUAAAAUUUUAAAAAGGAUUACCUAAUUUUAUUAAAAUAAAUAAAUAAAUAAAUAAAAACAUGUUUUUCAAGUUCUAUUUAAAAGAACAAUACAAUUUGAUUUUUGAAAAAACAGAAACUUCAAAAUUUUAUAUUUGUUUAAAGAGAGAAUUUUACAUUUUCACAAUUUUAUUUAAAAGAAUUAAUUUUGCUUGGCUUUUACCAUAACAAAAAAUUUAAGAUUUUGUGUAAAAAAAGAAAAAAAAAAAAAAAAAAACUUUUCACAAUUUUGUUUACAAAGAAAGAAUCUUGGCUUCAAAAAAACAAAAGAGUUUUUUAUAAGUUUAUCCAAAAGGAUUUUUGUUUAAUACUUAGUAAUAAAGAAAAUAUUUUACAAAUUUAAUUGGAAAGAAGAAAAAAAAAAUUUCCCUUAAAUAAAAAAAAAAAAACAAGUUUAUCUAAAAAGAAUUUGGCUUAUCUCAUAUUUAUUAAAAAUGGUUUUGACAAUUUCAAAUUUAUUAAAAUCGUAAUAAAAAAUUAUAAAAUAAAAUAAAAAAUAUUUAUUUAUUUUUUUAAAAAUGAUUUAUUAAAAGAAGAUUUCAAUUUGUUAAAAAGAGAAAUUUCGUUUUACUAAAAGAGAUUUUUUUUCUUUAGUUUUAUUCUAAAAAAACUUCUUUUUUUCUCACUUUUAUUAAAAAUCAGUUUUUCAAUUUUUUAUUUUGAAGAUUUUUAUUUAUACAAGAAAUUUUUUUAAUAUAAUUUUAGGAAAUAGUCUUUAUUUAUUAAUAUAUAUAUAAAAAUACCUUAUCAAACAAAGAUUUUAGAUUAGUAAAAAAAUAUUUAUUUAAAAGAAUUAAAUUUUUAUUCCAAAAUGAAUGUCAAUGCAAAGAAAAAAGAAAAUUUUAAAAAUAAACUAAAAUAAAAUCUCAUUAUAGGAUUAUUCUAUUCGGAUAAAACACAAAUAAAUUACACUUUUCAUACAUUUUUCAUUAACAAAUAAAUAAAUUAACAAAUGCUAACCAAGCAUAUCAAAUAUGAAUAACAAAUAAAAUAAAUUCAUGAAUGAUAAAUUAAAUAGAUAUAUACAAUAAAAAUCUAAACAAGUCCAUUUACAUGUAAAUAGGAAGAAAAUUAAAAUAAAUAUAUACAAGAGGACAAGGAUGAAUGAUUAGCCUCAUAAGUGCAGUCCCAAUAAUAGUAAUGACCCUUAAAAAAUGAAGCUCAAAAAUAGGAAAAACUCUCGACCCUCUCACAAAUAGCAUAGAAAAUACAGAGAAGUUUUAGAAAAGUCCCAAGAGUUGUCCCUCUCUCCUCUUUUUUGCUCCAAUCUUCCUUUUUAAUCCCAAAAAUUCCAAUUCUUAGUCAGUCUAACCCAUGCCCUAUCUUCAACUACUUUAACUGCUCCCAAUAUACUAUUGUAGACCCCUUUUGAAGAGCCAAGGGGUAUUUUAGUUUUUUUAUAUCAUUAGAGGAGCUGGCAGCACCUCUCGGGUGUGGGGGGACCCCUCUCCAUGCGUGGGACCAGCUGCAAGAGACAGGGAAGCCAUGCUGCUGAUGUGAGGAACAAGGAAGAGAAGGCAUGAUGCUGAUGUGAUGAACAACAAAGGGAGAUAAUGGCUUGCCCGGGAAGAUAGCACCUGCUACCACAAGGAAAAAAGGAAGGAAACGAGGGGUUUUUUUUUCGGGGGAGAGACGACUAGUUACAGAGGAAGGGAGGACCAAUAGGGUAGAGAAUUCUUUUAUGCUGAUAAAGAUAGAGAUUGGCAAAGGGGGGACAUACCGUGAAAACGAGCAGAAAAAGGAGAUAACACAGGUAUGGAUUCUGAAAACCGGAUUCAUUCAUUUAUUUAUUUAUUUUUUUGUUUGUUUUUUAUGCCAUGUUAUGAUAGUUUCUAGGCAUGAGGAUUUUCAUUUUUGAUGUCUGAACAUGCAUAUUGUGGAUCCUUGUAAUUUUUUUUUUCUGGAAUCUAAGCUUACUUACACCCGCCAUAUUCAUUAUCUCUCUCUCUCUACCUUCAACCUCAUUCAUGCCUGCCUAACCAAACCCACUACUCAUUUCUCAUGCGGACGUGGGCACCAUGCAUGGGAAAUAAUUAACCCAUUCUCCAUGUGCUUCUAGGUCUUUCUCAUGCCCUACCCAUUGCACUUAGCAGACGUAUCCUCCUAGCCCCAUGCACAGGGGCACCUCUAUAUCCUUUCACCUUUCAUACCCAUCUCCUCAAGCUCGUUGCUCAUUCCUUCGCGUCUAUGGAGGACCUACCGAUCAUCUCUGAAACCCCAAUCUCAUAAUCAGACUCCGAUCCACGUCCGUGUGUCCCCAAGGUUCGUCGGAGCAUCUUGCUGCCCGCCGCGCUGAAUCAAAACCAAUUGAGCUUCUUAGAGCUCUGCAUGUCGCGGAAAGAGACUCUGUAGCCAUCGCCGAGUGCUCCACUUCUCUCUUCGCUUUGCUGCGUUUGGCUCUCUCUGAAGUUAUUGGCAGUCCUGUCGAUCAUAUGAGGUGCUUCAGUGAUGCUGCAGGCUGCCUCCAGGAAUCAGCGUUUGAUGCAGCUACAAAGGGUAGCCGAUGAGGAAGAUGGUCUUUUUUGAGCCCGCCCACGUUAGUAUUGGAUUUGGGCUUGGUUUGGAGCACCAAGCCUAAGCUUGUGAUGGAGUUGGAGUUAGAGGCUUGUCCAAGAUGAUGGAUAUGGGCCUGGUUGGAAGCCUAAGCCCAGUUGCAUUAAUGAAGGGCCUCAUGCCCCCUGUACUAUUCACUCUCAUGGCCCAUACCUAUUCCAGGAUAGCCCAUUUGGCCACUUCAUUCCUAAAUAAUCCUUUUUAAAAAAGAAAACAAAAUCUCUAAUAUCCAUAAUUAAUUAACCAAAUCAUUCCCUUUUAUUUAUUACCUUAUUUCUACCAAUUUAGUUAACUCAUACUUAAAGACAAAUUAUUAAUUAUGUUUUUAUCUUGAAAUUUAUACUACUCAACUUCACCGGCUUAAACGUUAUGAUUAUUAAUUAUUAUUAUUAUUCCGUAUGUAUCUAUUUAUCACAUUUUAAAAUCUCAUUCCUUAAAACCUAAUUCUAAUUCUUCAAAAUAUUUGUUUAAAUCAUAUUUUCAUAAAUCAAAUCAUUAUCCCGUAUUAUUAUUUAUUCAAAGUCAAAUCUAUCAAAAAAAUCACAUGUUUUAAAUUAAUUCCUCAAAUACUCUUUUAAAUCUCAUAUUUAUCAACUAGAAUUAUUAUCCUAUAUUCUCCUAUUUAUCUAUGCCAAUCCUUCAAAAAUUCUAAGUUUUAAUUUAAUUCUUCAAAUAUUUGUUUAAAUCAUAUUUUCAUAAAUCAAAUCAUUAUCCCGUAUUAUUAUUUAUUCAAAGUCCAAUCCAUAAAAAAAAUCACAUGUUUUAAUUUAAUUCCUCAAAUACUCUUUUAAAUCUCAUAUUUAUCCACUAGAAUUAUUAUCCUAUAUUCUCCUAUUUAUCUAUGCCAAUCCUUAAAAAAUUCUAAGUUUUAAUUUAAUUCUUCAAAUACUUGUUUAAAUCUUAUUCUCAUAAAUCGAAUCAUCAUCCUGUAUUAUUAGUUGUUCGAAUUCUAAUCCAUUAAGAAAAUCCCAUGCCGUAAUUUAAUUCUUCAAAUACUCGUUUAAAUCUUACGUUCAUCAAUGAGAAUUAUUAUCCUAUAUAUUCAUUUAUUUAUCUAUACCAAUCCUUCAAAAAUCUCAUGCUUUAAAUUAAUUCUUCAAAUAUUUGUUUAAAUCUUAUUUUCAUAAAUCGAAUCAUCAUCUCGUAUUUUUAGUUAUUUAAAAUCUAAUCCUCCAAAAAUCCCGUCUUAAUUUAGUUUCUCAGCAAUUUGUUUGAAUCUUAUUUUCAUCAAUUAGGAUUAUUAUCUCAUAUUUGUCUAUUUAUUUAAAACCUAGUUCUUCAAAAAUCUCUUGUCUUAACUCAAUUUUUCAAUUCAAAUUCUCAAUUAGAAAAAUUCCACUAUUCUCUUUUUUAUUCGUCUAAACAUUAUUUUUGUUAAUUAGUAUCAUUAUUCCGUGUUUAUUUAUUUAUUUAUUUCAAUCAUUAAAAUUCAAUUCUUCAAAACCGGAUUUCCAAAUUUAACCUUGAGAUUCAAAAAUUCCACCAUUCACUAUCAUUCAUUCAAAUAUCAUCUUUGUUAUCAUUGUUAUAAAUUCCACGUUUACUUGUUUCUUUCUUCUAAAAAUCCCAAUAAUUAGAGUUCAAUUAUUCAAAGGCCCGACUUUCAAAAUUUAAUUUUCAAAAUCCCACUAUUCACUAUUCAUCCGCCCAAAUAUCGUUUUGAUUAAUCAGUAACAUUACUCCAUACUUACCAUUUAUUUCUCUUAAAAAUUUCAAUCAUUAGAGUCUAAUUCUUCAAAAUUCCGAUUCCUAAAUUUAGCUAUUUGAAAUUCCAAUUGUCUUAUCUCCGAACUUAAUUUCCUGUUUCCCAUGCUCCAAUUCCCGUAUUUACCCCGCUACUUAUUAUUAUCAUUAUUAUUAUCAUCUUAUUCAUUAUUUCUAUAAAUUCUGCAUUCGAAUGAUUUCUAAGAUUUUCCAUUUUUUACGCAUCAACUUUCAUAAUUUCUACGCCUCAAAUAACUUACGAUUCUGAUCCCUUUUGAAAUUUAACUCCCAUAAUCCCAAUUUUCGUAACUUAAUUUUUCUUAAAAAUCCCAAACCUUCAAAUAAUUCUUCAAAAUCCCAAUUUUCUUUCAAAUUUAUCUAAAAGUUCUCAUUUCUUACAUAUAAUUCCUAAGAAUCUAAUUUUCAAAUAAUCUCUAAGAUUCCGAUUCUCAAAUGAAUUUAACCUUCGAACAAUUUUAAUCCCUGCUUAGUGAUGCAUGUGGUAUGUUUUGUGCUUUAUAUGGUGUACUAACCCUCUCUAUUGAUAGCGCAUGCCGGUUUGUUGCCCAGGUAUGUACCUAUUUUCCCUCUAAUCGUUGUCUAUGCAUGUCUCGACUCUUAUAUGUGCAUGAUCAUUCAGGAUAUUCACUGAUUUACUCGUAAAUUGCCACGUCAGCUUCAUUUUGUUAGUAGAGACCCGAUUUUAGGGACUUAGAGGGGUGCUAUGGUCUUUUACCGUACCUUCUCGAUAAGUAACCUGACCCCCGAGCCCGAUCCGGUUUCUCGUAGAUCACCUUUUCCAAAAUAAGGAGUCGCACUUAGGGUUUUCUUUCUUAUUUUGUUUACCUUUUUAAAUAAAAACAAAAAUAAGUGGCGACUCCAAGUCAUUUUUUUUAAUCAAAUAAAAUCAAUUUUUCAAAUAAAAAUCGAGCUCGCCAUCGAGUGGAGAACACAUGAGCCGAAAAUGCGAGGUCCACAACUAUACCUUUUCCUGCUCUCUGCAUAAUGCCAAGAUAUCAACCCGAACACAGGGGACCCAAAAGAACAAUUAAGCAAAUGCAAUUAGGCCCAAAUCAAACCAAACAACAAUCCAACAAGCCAAGGUCCAAUACCAAAAUGGAUGGUGGGAAUGCAAUCUAUGAAUAGAUGGAUGGGAUUUGAUACCAAAAUGGGUAUUAAAGAUUGGGCCAAACAAAUAAAAAGGAAUGCUAAAAACAUUAACAAAAUGAGCCUUAAAAUAAAUUUUAAAAAAGUAAAUAAACAAAUAAAAAGAAAGGGUGAGGUAAAUUUGAAGGUCUACAUUCUACAACCCUAAGAAUUUCAUACUAAAAAGCUGAUAUGACACAAAAAUUCAACUCUUUUGGUUGACCACUAAAAUCCUUUGAAUUUCAUCAAUUUAAAUUUGGCAUGUGUUCUUUGAUUUGCCUUUUUUACUUUUCAACUAUCACCAAAUAGAAGAAUUUUCAAACUUGAAAUUCCAACGUGGCCUAAAAUACCUGGUCAUUACAAUGCACAUGACUCCUAUUCAAAUAUUGUAGACCCCAAAAUUUGUCCAAAAUUUACUUUUAUAUUGUUUUAGCCUAAUUUUAUCCUUAGAUUUCAAUCCGAUUAUAUUUGAUUUUUUUUUUGCCCAUUUAUACCAUUUAAAUUUAAAUUUUUAUUAUUUUAUAUUAUUUUUAUUUUUUCUUCUUCCUCUUUUUCCUCACCUACUUCCUCACUCUCUCUCCUAACCCAUAUCCCCCAUACCUCCCACAUCCCAAGAUUCCCUCCUCCUGUUGGUGCAGUACUAACUAGAUUAGAGUUCAUCUAGCUUCUCUAGAGUUAGACGGGCUUCUUGCUUGCACAAAAGGAUGUUUGGACAGGUGGUCUGAGCACGCCCCUCUAAAGCUUAAGUCAAAAAGUAAUAAGGAUGGGUCUAGUUGUUUCGAAUGGCUUUGUACGCGCAUACCUUUUUCAUGCUUCUCAAAGGGUUUUUACAAAGUGGAUGACACCAUCGCCAUAGCGUUGAGAAGCAUUUAUACCUUUUUUGUGAUGAUGAUUGCAAUCAGGGCGGAAAUCAACCCUUAGCAAGAGAGUCAACACCAUCAUCUCUACGCGGAUUAGGCAAUCAUACCAAACAAAAUCCUCUGACCAGGCACUAGGUGUGAUUAUCGAUUUGUUCAAUGCUUGGAAUCUCCGACUGUAUUGGUUAAUCUAUCUGAAAAUCUUAGUUGGCUUGGUUUGUCCAUUCCGUCUGACAUCCAAAAAGAAGGAAAUCUCUUUCCUCUUGCACUAGAUAGAGUUUGUUUUGGUUCAGAUGGAUUAAUCUCAGACAGAUCAUUUGCUUAUCUUGGAUGGACCAAAGGUUUUUGAUUUGGGGGAGGACACAUGGAAGGAAACCUCCCACAAUGCCCCCUUAAUCUGCAUGCUUCUAUCAUGUUGGGUAGCCGGCGAGUUGAGGCAAAAUGGAUUAUCUGUCUCUUCAGGUUAUUUGAGUGCUUAGGAACAUGUGUCAUUUGGGGCUGCAAUGAUGGGUCACAUCAAUCAAGGCUAGCUAUCAGGCAGCACACCUCUUCAGUUAGCUUUGGGAAGUGUUUCCAAGCGGCUUGUCCCUUGGAAUACCUAGGCUUUUGGAUCCUUAUAAAUAGUAGGGCUCCAUACUUUUUGGAAUACCUAGGCUUUUGGAGUUUCCUUGCCCACACUGCACCUCUACCGUCACUGCGUUUGCCACGGUCGUUGCUUUUCGCCUUCCUCCUCUACCGCUGUGUUUGCCACCGAUCACUGAUCUUCGCCUUCCUCGUCACUGGCUUUAAACAUGCCUUCCCCACUUAAGAGGGCUAAUUCCUUAUUCCAAUAAGUUUUUUGCCACUCACCAUUCCUUUUGCAAUGCUUGUUGUUCUUCUUUAGACCGUGUCGGUAGUUAGAGACCUCGACAUCCAGAUUUAGGGUUUCUCAUUGUCUUUGCUUGUUCUGGGUGCUUUGUUUGGGAGAGAAUGAAUUUGUCGAUGGCCAGACUUAAGGCUUUUUCAGUUUCCUCUUUUUCUCCUGUGUUGUUAAGGCACUUUUCAUUGGUUCAUGUUCUUUUUUCAUUGCUGUCGCGUUGGGGCGAUGGGAGUGAUUCUUCCUAUGUCAUUCUUGUUCUGUAAGUUUCAAUAGUCAACCUGUCUAGCUUCAAAUUAUUUGAAAGAAAGAAAAUUAAAUUUGAAGAUUGAAAUUUUUGGAAAUUAGAUUUGAAAGAAAUUGGAAUUUUGAAAAAUUAUUUGAGAAUUUGAGUUUUGAAAAUUAAAUUAUGAAAAUUGGAAACUUGGAAAUUAUUUAAAAAUGGAAAUUUUGAAAAUUGGAAUUUUGGAAAAUUAUUUGAAAUUAAAUUUAAAAAUUGGAAUUUUGAAGAAUUAUUAAAGAUGAAAAUUUUAAAAAUAGAUGAAGUUUCUCAAGUGUGUGGUAUCACUUGAGGGGUUGUUCAGGAGUGGGAUUGAGAAGUGUAAAGGGUGCUUGGAGCCAAAAGUCCAAGAGGGUGAAUUGGAACCAUAAUCCAAUUAUAUUGCUUGAAGACUUGGUUUGGAAGCCUUGAAUUAGUGGAACCUCAAGCUCGGGAUUGAAGCUAGAGGAGAGUGGAUGUAGGCCAGGUUGCACCAAACCACUAAAAAUUUGGGGUUUACAUUUUUCUUUCCCCACCUUUUUAAUUUAAUAGGAAUUGUUUUUUAUUUUUUUUUUAAUAACCUGGAAUAAAAUUGUUUUUACUUUCCCCAUGGUUAAAUUUGAAAAAAAGGGGCCCUCCCCCUUUUUCCCCCCCCCCCCCCCCCCCCUUUAGGGUCAUUACCAUAGGUUGGAUUAGCCUUUUUUUUUUUAACAAUAUUGAUUCCAUCACUAAUAUUAUUUAAUUCUACAUUUUCAUCCACUAGGAUACCACGUAGAAGUUCUUGCAGUAAUUAAAGCCUAUCAUUAUGGCAUUUGAAUCUACUUUUCACAUCUUCAAGAAAACUACUACCAUUGAAUUGAUAUAGGAUAUCAUUAUAAACCAUCUUGGCAAUGAUAGUUUUGCCAAUUCCAUCGGUUCCAUAGAUUCCAAUCACACGAAUGUCAUCCAAAUGAAUACUUAACAAUGAUUUUAGUUCUUUCAAGCAAAACUUCAUUCCAACUAUGGGCUCUUCAAUAGACAAAAGUUUAGGAUUCAAUCUUUAGAGGAUGUGGCCAAUAAUUUCUUUGAUAGGAUUUGACUCAUACCUACCAAUUAUAAAACACAAUGAAACAUGUGGUUAGCUAUAGUAAGUUGCAAAAGAUAAUAGAUCAAACCAUAUUUCUUAAAUUUACAUAUCUAAUUACCAUUUCAUUAAUGUCAUAUCGAGCAUAAAUGGGAAAGGAAAAAAAGGAAUAUAUGAUUUUUGUUAGCUUUGCUACUCAAUGUUUGGAAGGAUCUUACUUCUUACUAAAGAUAAUCACUCUAGAAUACUAUUAUGAUAAUAAUUCUAAUCCUAUGACAUUGAUGGAGACAAUUACUACUCAUUUGAUCAAAUAUGCUACCAAUUCCAGAUCAAGCUUCCCAAUCUAGUAAAGUAUUUGUUAAUUAGAGCACUACCUAUUACCAUUCUCUAUGCUCAUGUGACUCCAUUUCAUUGAUUAUCUUAACAAACUAACAAGUUGCUCAUGCCUUGCUUUCUAGUCUAUUUGUCCUAACAUUCUAUCGACUUUCCAAUCGUUAUAUUAGUGAAAGUGACAAUAUCCCCAUUUUUCCAAAAGGGACAAAAUACAAUUAUAAGGAAUAAUUCUAUGAUCUAUUUGUUGAAAAAAAAAUUUUUUUGUUAAAAUUUUUAAUUUUUAUUUGUAUAAAAUAAAAAAUAAAAUAUAUUUAUCAUAAAAAUUUGUAUUUAAUAAUUUAUAUUGAUUUUCUCUUAAUUUUAUUGAAAAUAAAAAAAAAUUGCAUACACUACUACAAAAAUAGUUUAUGGUGUCACUAUUUACGGUGUCACUUUUAAAAUAAUGACACCAUAGGGUUUAUAAUUAAUAAAGGUGACACAUCAUAUAAAAAAUCUUCAAUUGAGGUAGUUAGAUGAUAUUAAUUUUAUAUUUAUAGUGUCAUUUUUUAGGAAGUGACAUCAUAUAAAAUAAAUUUUUUUAGAUAUUAUAACUUAAUGAGCCCACUUUUAGAAUUAAUAAUGAUGGAUACUAUAUAAAAAUCCCAUUGUUUCCAUAUUUCACCCACAAUCCAAAAAAUCUCAAUAUAUAAAUCCUAUAUAUAAAAUCAUGAUCUUCUUCAACCUUUUCUCUCACCCAUCCAUAGUCAACACGCUCACAACGGACAUUCUUCACUUUGUGGACUCCCAGGUAACCCAAAAUCUCUUGGAUCUAUCAUUUUUUUUCUUUUAUUAAUGUCAUUAUAUUAUUUGUUUCAACAUCUUUGUAUUAAGGUUUUUGUGAAUUGUGUUUUCUUGAGUUGUAGGGAAAAAAAAUUUAGGUUUAAUCUUCUAACAUAGAAGAAAAAACUGUAGAUUUUGAUUUUUUAAUCUAAACCAAACACAUGAUCAAGUCUUUAAAAAAAAAGUGAAAAACAGGAAAAAAUGAAUGAUUUUUAAUAUGUAUUUGUGUGAGAAUGACAGGUACAUAAUUUUUUUGAGAUUUAUUAUCACAUAAUCUUCAUCCUUUCUAAAAAACGAGAGAGGAAAAAAAAAGAAUAUUUUUCUGUUUGUAUCUAANNNNNNNNNNNNNNNNNNNNNNNNNNNNNNNNNNNNNNNNNNNNNNNNNNNNNNNNNNNNNNNNNNNNNNNNNNNNNNNNNNNNNNNNNNNNNNNNNNNNAGUCCAGCAACAAAAGUAGUGUCCAACCUUAAAAUGGGCAUGUGUGGUAUUGACGGGAGAUGAUAAGAUGGAAAUCAUAACCAUAGCCAUGUUCUCUCUGUAUCUUUCUAUCAUCUUCAAUUAAUUCAUGGGCAUAGAUAUUUUAUUUAGUUUUUAUAUUUAGUUUAUUUAUAGUUUAUUUAGUUUCUAAAAUCCAAUUAGCUAGAUAUUUUAUUUGAUUUUGUUUUUAUAUUUAAGUAGUUGAGUUUUGGAAAGUUUUUAUAUUUUGUUAAUAGAAAUAGAAAUUUUUAUAUUUUUUAUUAUUAGGAAAUUCUAUUUUGUUAAAUUGUAAGUAUCUAUCUCAAUAAGAGAUUAUUAAUAUUCAAAUGAAAGUGAUAAAAGAGAGUAAAUAUUUUAAUGCUCAAUUAUAUUUUAAUGUUAUUUUUUUUUACAUAAGGGUUUAUUUAUGUUUUCAAUUUUGAAGUUCCCUUUCCAAGUCUAGCAACAAAAGUAGUGUCCAACCUUAAAAUGGGCAUGUGUGGUAUUGACGGGAGAUGAUAAGAUGGAAAUAAUAACCAUAACCAUGUUCUCUCUUUGUCUUUCUAUCCUAUUCAAUUAAUCCAUGGGCAUAGAUAUUUUAUUUAGUUUAUUUAUAGUUUAUUUAGUUUCUAAAAUCCAAUUAGCUAGAUAUUUUAUUUGAUUUUGUUUUUAUAUUUAAGUAGUUGAGUUUUGGAAAGUUUUUAUAUUUUGUUAAUAGAAAUAGAAAUUUUUAUAUUUUUUAUUAUUAGGAAAUUCUAUUUUGUUAAAUUGUAAGUAUCUAUCUCAAUAAGAGAUUAUUAAUAUUCAAAUGAAAGUGAUGAAAGAGAGUAAAUAUUUUAAUGCUCAAUUAUAUUUUAAUGUUAUUUUUUUUUUUACAGAAGGGUUUAUUUAUGUUUUCAAUUUUGAAGUUCCCUUUCCAAGUCUAGCAACAAAAGUAGUGUCCAACCUUAAAAUGGGCAUGUGUGGUAUUGACGGGAGAUGAUAAGAUGGAAAUCAUAACCAUAACCAUGUUCUCUCUGUGUCUUUCUAUCCUAUUCAAUUAAUUCAUGGGCAUAGAUAUUUUAUUUAGUUUUUAUAUUUAGUUUAUUUAUAGUUUAUUUAGUUUCUAAAAUCCAAUUAGUUAGAUAUUUUAUUUGAUUUUGUUUUUAUAUUUAAGUAGUUGAGUUUUGGAAAGUUUUUAUAUUUUGUUAAUAGAAAUAGAUAUGAGGACUUAAAGGGUUUAUAUUUAGGUAGUGCUUGAGCCAAGGAAAAUGAUAGUCCAUUAUCUUGACCCUGUGCAUCACAAACCAUGUGAGGACUUAAAUGACAUCGUAAACAUGUAAGUUCUUCCUAUUAUUUUUCAUAGUAUUAUUUUUAAAUAAAAAAAUACAUUCACCUCAAACAAAUUUUUUUGAUUAUUUAUAUAUAUUAAAACAUAUAACAUUUACCUAUUUUAAAAAUGUACCCAUUGAACUUAUUUACAUAGGGUUCUUCGAAUAUUUGCAAAGAAAACAUCUAAGAGGGAGCCAUCUUAGCAACUAGUGCAGGUGACAUCCAAAAAUUUUUCUUUACACAUUAGCUUAUGCAUUUGCACCAUUUAUAUAUGUGAGUACUAAUGUUAUUUUAUAAUUGAUCGAUUAGUGUCCAAGACAAGAAGGAGGGUUCGAAUGUGGCUACUUUGUUAUGAGAUUCAUUAAAGAGAUAAUUUUUUAUCCUACAAUUAUUGCUUCAAAGGUAUUACUUAUUUAAUGAAUUGUACAUAGUUUUAGGCCUCCAAAUGUUAUGCAUUUUAAUGUUAUUUUCUUAUUUGAUUUCAGUUUGGUGAUAAAAAAAAAAACAUAUUCUCAAGUAGAAUUCGAUGAAAUUAGAGGAGAAUGGGCUACUUUUGUGCUACAACUAAUCAUGAAUCAUGUUCAUGCAUCAUGAUCACCAUGCAUGGUGAGUCCCUUAGCUACUACAUGAAUUUUUCCAUAGGUAUUGUAUAGUAAUGCUUAUUCUUUGAAUAAUGUUUCUAUUUGAAAAAAAAAAUAGUUCUUAGAUUUGUUCAUUUAUGAUAACAUCGAUCCAUGUUUAUUUUCUUCAAUAAAAAUCUCUAAAACUCAUUAAAUUUUGAAAUGCAAGUAUACACUCUUGGGAGGGUGAAAUGGAGAAUAAAAAAGAAGAAGGCAACAAGAUUUUGGGUUUUUAAAUGUAAAUCUUAUGUCAUACGUUAUAGGACAUAAACGUUACUUUAAUUGCAACUGAGAAAUUUAGAUUUUUAGAUGAGACUUUUAUGUCAUUUUAUGGUUAGCCAGUUUUAUGCUUAUGAAAUGGAGGUAUACAUGAAUCUUGGGAUCUUUAACAUUUCUGAAUCAUGUUUUGGUAUGUAUUCACUCUUCUUUUUUAGUUUUGAUGGGUUUGAUAUGUUGGACGUACUAUCCUUUUGUGAACAUUUGGUAUACAAAUAUUAUUAGAUGAUUAAUGUAUUAUGAGUUAUUCCAUAAACAUUACAGAAAAAUGAGUUAAAUAUAAUAUGAUUGUUAUAUUUAUGGACAAAAUAUAAACAUGUUAAUCUUAUUAAUUCAUAAGCAUUACAAAAAUCAACAACUAAAACCAAUCAUAUCUUCCACAAUAAUUUACAAUGAUGUGAUACCAUAACUCAAAGGUGAUGCAUUUAAUGUGCCAUCAUAACUCAAAGAUGAUGUAUUUAAUGUGACACCCUAUCAUCACUAGAAAUAUAUGGUGUCACUUCCGAAUGGGUCACCAUUUAUCUACUUUGGUGUCACUUCCAAAUACGUCACCAAUUGGUACCCUCUAUGAUGUCAGUGGAGAAGGUGACGUUAUGUUGUAGUGACACCCUAUGAUUAUGGUGACUCGUUAUAAAUGUCACCAUAUACCUUUUUCCUUGUAGUGAUACUAAAGUUGUGCAUUGAUCGACAAAACUCGUGGAAAAGAGGGUACCGCUUUUUUAUGAAAAAAGUACCACACUUAUAUGAAAAAAGCACCACUAAAGUGUGUUAAAAAUACAAUUGUAGUGGAAAUGAUAUGCUACUUUUCUUUGAUUUAUGGUAAGGUAUACUAUAGCAUGAAUUGAGUAAAUGUUAUUGCAUAAUAACACCGAUUGACAUAACCCUUGGAAAAGAAGGGUAUUGGUUUUUUAUUAAAAAGAUAAUGACUAUUCAAAGUAUCAUUGUGCUAAAAGAGUGGUACUAUUCUUUUAUUAAAAAAAAAAAAGUACCACCAAAGUGUUUUGAAAAAGUAGUAUAAUGGUAUUUGUAACACAGAGUGGUACUUUUAGUAUAGUGGUACUUUUAACAUUGGUAUUUUUAACACACUUUAGUGGUACUUUUUUCAUAAAAGAGUGAUACAUUUUUCAUAAAAGAAUAGUACCAUAUUUUCCAAGGAUUGUGUCAAUGCGUAACUUCAGUACGUAAAAUUUUUAAUUUUUAAUAAAAUUUUAAAAAUUAAUAUAAAUGAUUAAAAAUUUUAAAAAGCAAAAUGUUGAAAUCACAACCAAGUUUUUAUCUUCUUUAAUUAAAAUAUUAAAUAUUUUAAUUAAAAAAAAAAGUGAAAACCAUGGUCAAGUUAGAUGAUAAGCAAAAAGUUAAAAUCAUAAUCAUCGACUUUGAUUUUCAAAUAAAAUUUUAAAUUUUUAAAAAAUUAUAUAAAUAAUAAAAUAAUAUGACAAUGCAAUAAAAUUUAUACAAUAAAUAAAUAUUUUAUUUAACAGAGAUAUAAAAAAUCUUAUAUCCUAAAUUUCUAAAUUUAUUCAUUAUGUGUUUAUUGUUAUAUUAAUUUUGUUCACAUUAAUUAUUUAUUAUAUAUUAUUAUUUUAUGUUUAAAAUGGCCAUAAACAAUUAAAAUCAAUAAAUUUGAAAAUAUGAAAUUGUGAAAAAAUUGAAAUUAAAAAAAUUUCAUGAAGCCAAUAUAUUUAAAAACAAAAAGGUGGAAAUAUUAUGGACGAGGAAAAAAAAUCGACUGCCACAUGUCAAUUAUUUUAUUUUAUUUUUUAAAAUGACAACUAUAAUGAGCUAAGUUAAAAAUAUUGGCAGUUGGCCUUAGGAUGAGAGGAGGAUUAGAUGGUAGUUUGGGAAAAUGGAUGAUUUUAGUAUUACAGUAGAAUAAAAAGUAAUGGAAAUUGACCUUAGAACGAGAGGAGGGUUUGAGGGUAGUUUUGGAAUGUGUAUGAUUUUUACAAUUAUUUUCUCAAAUUUGCCAAUGAUCACAUGAUUCUCCCAACAUAAAAUCAAUAGCUACGUAGCAGGUUUAAGAAUUCCAAAUUCAGAUUCUCUUAUAUAAAUUAUAAAUUCGAAAGUUCAAACGAAGUUGAAAUUACCCAUCCUUCACAUGCCAACCACUUAGACAGCUUGCUUCAGUCAUGGCAGCCCUCCACCUUCGCACCUUCUCCUCGUCUACGUUUAUUUCAUAAUUCGCAAAUGCUUCUCCAAAACUCCCACUUAAUUUGUUUCCGCACAUCAAAAGGAUACACAUGGUAGAAAACUGGCAACGCUAUUUGAUCUAUUUCUUUUAUGCACUUCAUGAUCUUUGUUAGCUCAUCCAAACACCAUUUGGAAUGAGCAUUCUUUUCUCAGAAAACAAUUAUGGAAAAUCUUGAUCCUUCAAUAGUUCCCAAAAGUUCUUGUGUGAUUUCUUCUCCUCUUUCAAGUUUAUCAUCUCUAAAAGUGUUAAUACCCAUCCGAUCCAAAUUUACGAAUAGAUGAUCUGUAAAAUUGUAGCGGGUGUCUUCCCCCGUAAAACUCAAGAAGACGUCCAAGUUACAUUUUCCGGUUGGAGCUGAGGAAGAAGAGGAUUUUUGGGUGCUUGAGGAAGCCAUUUUGGGACAGGUUUUGUGGGAACUGGAAGACUACAAGAGAGUUGAGGAUCAACUUGCACACAGCCAAUACUAAUGUCCCUGAAGAGGGUCUUUUAAGUAUCAAGAGUCUGCAAAACCUCAAUCACUUUUCACAUUAUUUAUUUUCUACUUUGUAUUUGUAUGGCAUUGCCUUUUUUCUUUUCUUUUUUUUUUUUUCAAAUAAUCAAAUUUUUAAAUAAAAUUCCAACUACCCAGUCACCCACCUCCACUUGUUAUCCCAAGUCCCAGCCUGUUUUUGCUACUUCCACCUCCCAUGGAAUCCCAACAUUUAUAAUAAAUAAAAUAAUAAAUGUUGGUUUUGUGUUUUUAAAUCAUUUUGCACUGUCUCAGAAACUCACAUCCAUGGGGUUUAUGUGCUCAAAGGUCCUAUCUGUGACUAUGAUAUAAACAAUCACUUUUAGUGCAUGCCCUUUUUAUCAAAAAUCGUUUCAAUGAUGUAUCGCCUACCAUUUUCAUAUUAAACAUGUUUUCAUGAUAUGUUAUGGUAAUUGGUCAUAUAAUUGGCUUAACAUACAUCCGCUGACCCAAAAAAAAAAAAAAAAAAAAAAUUAAAACUAGUUAGAUCCACGUACUCACCUUUUUUUUUUUUUUUUUUAAUCAAAAAUCGUUUUAAAAAACUUUUGAUUUCCUUGUGCUCACCUAAUGUUUUCAUUAAAAUACAAGAACUCAUUUUUUUGAGAACUUUUUCUUGUGAUCAGCUUAUCCUUGUACCUUCUUAAAAAGCAAGAUUGAUUCAUGUUAGUUGGAAGAUAAAAACAAGUACUUCUAACAAAUUGUAUAUUUAGUACAUUGAUAAUUUAACUAAUGGGAAAAGGCCAUAGAAAGUAAAUGUAAACGGACAAUAUAGUUAGACAUGAAAUUUCUAUAAAUACAUGAAAAUAACAUUUAUAUUCCAUAGAUGAAAAUAGCAACUGUCAUGUAUGUAGGGACCCCUCCCCCUGAAGACGCAUGACGCAUAUUUCCUGAUGACACGUGGCACAUAUUUCUAUCCGGAUUACCCCCAUCCGGACACGUGACGCGCUUCUCCUAUCCGGACUUCCUCAGGGAGAAGCACACGACACUCGCAAACAUCACAUCCGGACGAUUGCCAUAUCACAUCCGGACGACCGACAUAUCCUAUCCGGAUAUGUUUGUCCGGAUCGUUGACUAAAGUAAGCAAGUCUUACUACGUCAUUUCAACAGCCUGCCACGACCCACGUUCCGCCACCUGCAGAGUGAAAAGAUAGGAAUGAUGGCAAGUCACUUCCUACGAUCUCUGAUAGUUGCGGCGCCUCCCAUGAUCUCUGUCAGCCGCCCGUAGGGUGAUGAUGGCCCUGUCACCACCUAGAGGCAUCAUGACAAACCAAAAUAUCUCCCUACCAUUAAAGAGAGAAACAAAGCUCUUAAAUGCUAUAUAUAUGGAUCUUCACACAAAGAGGAAGGUAAGCUUGCUAUACCUAGUAAAAAACCAACUGAUUAUUCUCUCUAACCAUGGCUGACAAAACCAUCGGAGGGUGUGUCCGGACACCCUGUCCGGACGCCUUUUGCAGGAACGACUGAACCAGGAAUCUAUAUUGGUUGAGAUCGUGCGUCCAUCCAUUUGGCAAUUGUGUGGAUCACUAGGGACACGAGGCCUCAACAUUGGCGCCGUCUGUGGGAAAACUCGCUAAUUCAGUCACCGGCGAAGAUGGCCACACCUUCCCGUAGCUGUUCAUCUGGUAGGGGAGAGGAACAUAAUUCUGAAUGGCGCCAAGCCAUCGAAAGAAGACAGUUGGCAAGCGAGCGACAACUGCAAGCUCUCCUCCAGGAGACAGAAAGGUUAAGAGAAGAAAACGCGGUGCUACGCAUCCAGGCUUCAUCGACGGGGACUCCCCGUCGUCAGCAUUCAAGAGGCCAGGUAGCAAACUCAAGGCCAGAACCAGAGUCAAUAUACCCUGGGACAGCAGGAGCCAUCCUAGAAGCAUGCAACGUUAGGCCACAUGAGCCACACACUCCCAUGCAUCAAGCUCCCCAUGAGGAAAGCUCAGACUCCACUCAUUUUUCAGCAAAAAGACAACGCGAUAAAAGACCCCAGUUGUCAAACUCAAUGCACGCGAGACUAGGCCCACAGCAGCCUAGGAGGCCAAGGCCACCAGUAGCCACAACCUGGGGAGCACACCCUGACCCUAUGGUCACCCCUGUGGUGCAGAACGUUCUCCCGCACCGUGACCCCAUGGUCACCCCUAUGGUGCAGAACGUUCAACCGCACCUAGUGGUACGACAAGCUGGGAGGAACCUCCCAAAUGAGCCACCCAUUGGCUCCAUCAGCAAAAGGCUGGACGACAUGCUCUCCACGCCUUUCUGCUCUCAUAUCAUUCAUUACGAUCCCCCAAGGGGAUUUCUCGUGCCCAAAUUCUCCACAUACGAUGGGUUCAGCGACCCCUUCGACCAUAUCAUGCAUUAUCAACAGCUCAUGACUCUCGAUAUAGGCAACGACGCGCUGCUAUGCAAAGUAUUCCCCGCCAGCCUACAAGGGCAGACCCUCUCAUGGUUUCACCGCCUACCUCCCAACUCUGUUGAUAAUUUCUGAGACCUAUCAGAGGCCUUCGUGAGAAAUACUUAUGCUCCGCUCGACAUAAGCAAAACAUCAGCACUCUGCAAAACAUAAAAAUGCAGGAUAACGAAUCCUUAAGGGAGUUCAUGAAGCGGUUUGGUCAGGCCGUACUACAGGUAGAGGCUUACAGCAUGGAUGCUGUCCUGCAGAUCUUCAAGCGAAGCAUCUGUCCAGGCACCCCAUUUUUUGAAUCACUCGCUAAAAAGCCUCCUACGACGAUGGACGACUUAUUCCGACGUGCGAACAAAUACUCAAUGCUCGAAGAUGACGUGCAAGCAGCCACCCAGCAAGUCUUGGUUGCCGGACAGGCAUCCAGAAGUGGCGCAGAAAGAAGUGCCAAACUUCCGGACUGGCCAAGGCCGUUCGAUCGAAGGUAGGAAGGGCCAAGUCGCCCGGAAAGGCCGCCCCUCACACCACUUUCCAUAUCAUAUGAGAAACUUAUCCCUACGAUCCAAGGCAUGUUCGACUUCAGGUGGCCUAGACCCCUUGGAACGGACCCAUCCAAAAGAGAUCAUAGCAAAAAAUGUGCCUUCCACAAGGAACAUGGUCACACAACAGAGACAUGCAGGUGCCUCCAAUAUUUGGUCGAAAGGCUCAUCAAGGCGGGACAUUUAAAGCAAUACCUCCUCUCAAAUGCCGGAGGUAGAGACGCUUCCCAAAAUCACAACUCUGGAGCCCCCAGGGCCCCAACCGCCCCCAAAGUCGUUAUAAACUAUAUUAACGGAGGCCCAUCUAACGAGGAGUACGACUCCAAACGAAAGAGACAAAAGUUGUUGCGGGCAGCAUCGGUGCGCGAACGUGUCAACUCCAUUCGGCCAGGAAUAACUGGGGAGGGGGGGGAGGGGGGCCUCGCCCCAUAGAUGGGACAAUCGUUUUCCCACCAGUAGACCCCACCCGGAUACUGCAGCCGCACCACGACGCCCUCAUCCUGUCCCUAGAAAUAGGAGACUUCGAUGUGAGACGCAUCCUGGUUGACCCAGGCAGCUCAGCCGAUCUUGUACAAGCAUCGGUUGUUAGCCACAUGGGGCACAACCUCAUAGGCCUCGAGAACCCUGGGCGAAUCCUGUCCGGAUUCAACGGGUCGUCAACUAUUUCCUUGGGAGACAUUGUGUUGCCGGUCCAAGCUGGCCCAGUCACUCUCAACGUACAAUUUUCGGUGGUACAAGAUUUAUCACCCUUCAAUGUCAUCUUGGGGCGCACAUGGCUACACUACAUGAAAGCCAUCCCCUCUACAUAUCAUCAAAUGGUAAGUUUCCUUACCAAGGAUGGGCAAAUUGACCUAUAUGGCAGCCAGUUAGCCACUCGCCAAUGCUACCAGAUAGCACGAGAAGCAGGGACCAGCCAGGAAGAUGCAUCCCUCCCUGAGUCCAGCCAUGCACGUGACCAAUAGCAAUUAUUGGGUUCGGCGGACAAAGAUCCCCUGGCAGCAGAACCCUUGCAAGCAAUUCAAAUUUCGGAAAAAGGUACUCACCUUACGAAUAUCAGUUCCCUCCUAACACCAGAAGAGACCCGGAACAUGCAGAACGCCCUCAGACAAAACCAUGACAUCUUCGCAUGGGCACAUUCUGAUAUGAAGGGAAUCCAUCCCUCCAUUACCUCUCAUAGGCUUAAUGUCUUGCCAACAACCAGACCCAUCUGGCAGAGGGUUAGGCGCUUUCACCCGGACAUACAAAAAAUUAUCUGGAAUGAGAUUGACAAGUUGCUAGAAGCUGGAUUUAUCAGAGAAGUGGAUUACCCAGACUGGUUGGCAAAUGUAGUGGUGGUACCCAAAAAAGAAGGCAAAUAGCGGGUGUGCGUCGACUAUACCAACCUCAAUAAUGCAUGCCCAAAAGACAGUUUCCCUUUGCCACGUAUAGAUCAAAUUGUGGAUUCCACUACUGGGCAGGGGAUACUCUCCUUCUUGGACGCCUUCUCCGGAUACCACCAAAUCCCCAUGUCUCCGGCUGACGAAGAAAAAACAGCCUUCAUAACACCGCAUGACCUCUAUUGCUACAAAGUCAUGCCAUUCGGACUCAAAAACGCUGGCGCCACUUAUCAGAGACUGAUGACGAAAAUCUUCAAACCUCUGGUCGGCCGCACAGUAGAGGUAUAUAUUGACGAUAUCGUGGUUAAAAGCAAAACCCGAGAGGAACAUGUCCUCCACUUACAAGAAGUCUUCCAGCUCUUAAGGAAGUAUGGCAUGAAGCUGAAUCCUUCCAAAUGCGCCUUUGGCGUAAGUGUAGGCAAAUUCCUGGGAUUUAUGGUCAGCCAAAGGGGGAUAGAGGUUAGCCCGGAUCAAGUCAAGGCAGUCAUGGAAACACCACCCCCCAGGAGCAAAAAUGAAUUACAGCGCCUCACAGGUAAACUCGUCGCGCUAGGACGUUUUAUAGCCCGCUUCACUGAUGAGUUGCGACCCUUCUUCUUGGCGAUACGAAAAGCUGGAGCGAACGGAUGGACAGACAGCUGUCAAAGCGCUUUUGAGAAAAUUAAACAUUGCCUUAUGCAACCGCCCAUCCUGAGCAGCCCCAUCCCUGAAGAAAAAUUGUACAUGUAUCUGGCUGUAUUAGAGUGGGCAAUCAGCGCUAUUCUAUUCCGCUGCCCCUCACCCAAGGAGCAGAAACCUAUCUACUACGUCAGCAGAGCGUUGGCGGAUGUAGAAACCAGCUAUUAAAAAAUGGAGCUAACGGCCUUAGCCCUUCGGAGUGUCGCCCAAAAGCUCUGUCCUUAUUUCCAAGCCCACCCGAUGGUCGUGCUAACUAACCAACCCCUUCGCAACAUUCUACACAAGCCAGACCUAACCGGAAGAAUGCUUCAAUGGGCCAUAGAGUUAAGCGAAUAUGGGAUCGAGUUCCAACCCAGGCUAUCCAUGAAAGGUCAAGUUAUGGCUGACUUCGUGCUGGAAUACUCCCGAAUGCUUAUCCAGCACAAGGAACCAAGUGAAAAAGAGUGGUGGACUUUGCGGGUCGAUGGAGCUUCACGAUCAUCAGGAUCCGGAGUAGGGCUCCUGCUGCAAUCACCAACAUGAGAACAUCUGGAGCAAGCCAUCCGGCUGGGGUUCCCCGCCUCUAACAAUGAAGCGGAAUAUGAGGCCAUCCUAUCCGGAUUGGACCUCACCCUGGCUCUAUCUGUCUCCAAGCUCCGGAUCUAUAGUGACUCCCAACUCGUGGUAAGGCACGUUCAGAAGGAAUACGAAGCUAAGAACGCGCGCAUGGCGUGAUAUCUGGCUAAAGUAAGAGACACCUUACAGCGGUUCACCGAAUGGACGAUCGAAAAAGUAAAACGAACUGAAAAUGGGCGCGCUGACGCCUUAGCAUGCAUAGCUGCCUCCCUCCCCAUCAAAGAAGCCAUAUUGUUGCCUAUACAUAUGCAAGCCAACCCUUCCGUCACAGAAGCUUCCACUUGCAAUACCAUUGAGGAAAACCAAGCAAAAAGCCAAGAGUGGACAGAAGACAUUAUAAGGUACCUCCGGACAGGCACUCUGCCUGAAGAACCCAAGUAGGCACACAAGAUCUGGGUGCAAGCCGCCCGUUUCACCCUGAUUGGGGGGCACUUGUACAAGUGAUCCUUCACAAGUCCCUAUUUCCGGUGCCUAAACCACACAAAGGCCCUGUAUGUAUUAGCUGAAUUGCACGAGGGAGUAUGUGGAAAUCAUUCUGGAGGUCGAUCUCUGGCACAUAGGGCCCAUUCGCAAGGAUAUUAUUGGCCCACGAUGAAGAAAUAUACGGCAGCCUAUGUCAAAAAAUGUGACAAAUGUCAAAGGCAUGUCCCCGUACCGCAUGUGCCGUCGGAGACAUUGAAGCCAAUUUCAGGCCCCUGGCCCUUCGCAUAGUGGGGCAUGGACAUAGUAGGACCCCUACCAGUCGCACCCACUCAAAAGAAAUUCCUGCUCGUCGCCACGGAUUACUUCAGUAAAUGGGUGGAAGCUGAAGCAUACGCUAGCAUCAAAGACAAAGAUGUCACCAAGUUCGUGUGGAAGAACAUCAUCUGCCGCUUCGGAAUCCCCCAAACCAUUAUAGCCAACAACGGUCCACAGUUUGAUAGCAUCGCCUUCCGGAAUUUCUGUUCGAAACUAAACAUUCGGAAUUCAUACUCCACACCAUGUUAUCCUCAAAGUAAUGGACAAGCAGAGGCCACAAAAAAGACUCUAAUCAUUGCCUUAAAGAAAAGGUUCGAGCAAGCCAAAGGAAAGUGGGUGGAGGAGCUGCCCGGCGUCCUGUGGGCUUAUCGAACCACACCCGGACGUCCGACAGGACACACUCCCUUCGCCCUCGCAUACGGUAUGGACGCAAUCAUUCCUACUGAAAUAGGGCUACCCACUAUCCUGACCGAGGCAGGAAGGCAGGAUGAUGCAAAUAUGGAGUUAGAAAGAAAUUUGGACUGGGUAGACGAAGUAAGAGAAACUGCAUCCAUCUGGAUGGCAGAUUAUCAACAAAGGGCAUCCGCUCAUUACAAUCGCAAAGUAAGGCCCAGAAGCUUCAAAAAUGGUACGCUGGUCCUUAGAAAAGUUUUCGAAAAUACUGUUGAGGUAGGAGCGGGAAAGUUUCAAGCCAAUUGGGAAGACCUCUAUAUAGUAUCUAAGACAAGUGAAAGUGGAGCUUAUCAUCUACAAAAGCUAGACGGAACCCCAUUACUUAGACCAUGGAAUGUGUCCAAUUUAAAACAGUAUUACCAAUGAAAGAGAGAUACAAGUACAAAUAUGAAUAAGUAUGUUUUAUUAAUAUUUGUGAAGUUGUAUACAAAGAGGUCUCCGGACUACAAGAUACAGAGAGAAGAUAGCAGUAAAGAAUCACAAAAAGAAAAGCUCUCAUUGGGAAGGCUUGCCGCGCAGCUUCUCCUCCUCACCCGGGGGAAUCGAAGGGACGUCCCGCUUGAUACCAUGUUUCUUCAUACAGCAACGGUAGCCGAAGAUGUACAUUUCGUCUACCUGCUUCUGGUAGUCCGUUUCAAGUUCCUCCAUUUCCGCAGCAAACUCAACCUCCAACUCUUUUUUUUGCACUGAUAAGCGCAACUGCAAAUCCUCUCUCUGCUUUUUCUCAAUAGACACCUCUGUCCGGAAUUGCCUCACUUUCCCCCUCAACUGGGCCAUCUCAUCCUCCGCCUCAUGCAGGCGGGCGUCUGAAGAUUCCUCCCGACUCUUUGCCUCAGCUAACUCUAUCCGAAAAGCCUCGUUGUCAUUUCGAGCAGCGGAUAAACUGGCUUCGGCCUGCUCCAAUCUCGAGCGCAGAUUCUCUUCACUGUUUUUGCGCUGAGAGACGAAGGCCUUCAUAUAAUCAACAGUCCGCAGCAGGUCAGAAAAAAGGUCACGUUGUUGAGCCAUGCUGCGAAUACCGCUCACCAGCUGUAGAAAAACCCACAAACAAGAAGUGCAAAAAUUACAACCCAUGAGACAAACACAUCAGUAUGGCGAGAAAAAUCAAGAAGUAAACUAUACCAUUUCUGCCGCUUCAAACAUCUUUGCUGAAGGCACAACAACAUCUGAGCCGGAUGGAAUCCGUUUCAGCAUCUCUCCCAACUCCGCAUAGCUGAAAGGACUAGCGAAGAUGCAAGCUGCAUCAUCAACGGGACUCCCCCCUGACGAGGCAUUAGGGAGUGGCUCCUCCCCCGGGUCCGCGGCCCCAUCAUUCUCGGCCGGCUGGGUCUCUCCGGGUGAACCCCCAUCCAGGACCAGCACCGGGGUGGUGGUGUUCUCUUCUGCCAUCUCCGGACGGACGAGCAGUGGACUUCGAUGGCUUCCAGAAAAUGAUCCUAGAGCCGCCCGAUGAGGCCAGACUUUAAGUCAUGCGCCGGACGAGACCUCCUUGUAGAUGACCCCUUCACCGGUACAAAGGCAAGGGGGCUUGGCUCGUAAGGAGGCAAACCCUAACUUUCUGCCCCCGUUUCUUCCGUUGGGGGUGCCGAAGGAGGCAAUGCUUCAACACAAGAGGCCCCGGCUGCAUCCGCGUCCGGAUGGGGAGAGUCGGGUUGAUUUACUGAAGUCGCUUCCUUAGCCAGAAGAGCCAGCCGUCCAGCCACUGGCACUGAAGGCCCCGAAUGAUUCAGACCCGCGAGGCGUCCGAAGCCGCUUGAAACAGAGGGCAAGACGGGGUGGUCCGGCUCUCUUAUUGUUAUUUCUUUUACAAAGGUUGAAGGUGGAAUUACAACUUCCUUUGGGGGAGUUGGGAGUUUUAUUUCUUUUCCCUUAUUGAGAACCAGCUUCUUCUUCUUUUUCGCUGGGGCGCCAGCAGGUGGAGAGGACGCAGGGCGUUUACCACCAGGAGCCUUCCGCAAAAGGCCUUCUUGCCUUUUCUCCUCCCGUUCGUUGAGACGCACUUUGCGUGCUCGGGCGUCUGCCUUACGCACCUUCGGGUAGAAUAGGAGAUCUUGGUGAACAAGUGUUCUCCACUCACCACCUCCUUGGGCAGCCGCCUCGGAAGUAUGUUCAGCACGUACGGCUGGGGCUCCUGGGUAACCAAGCGGAGAUUCUGUGCGGAGAGAAGCGUUUCACAACUCCGCUCGGUCGCCGCAAUCUCAAAAAGCCUGUUCAACGGGUCAAACGAGGCUUUCUCCACCCAUUCUACCAACUUCCCCCUCCUAUCCUUGCCUGCACACAAAAGAACGAAGCAUGUCAACCACCUAAUAAUGCUAACCUAACGCACAAUCGCCGAAAGACAGGGAGUAACUUAUUCAUACCUAGGACCUUCAACGAAUGGUUGGGAGCGAACUGCCUGUUCGAAUGCAUCGACAAGCCCGCCCAUAGGCCCUUGACUAGCACGUGUCCUCUGGCGGCCCCCUUAGUCGAGUCAGGAAGGCUUGUCACCAUCUGAAGGGAUGGAAGGCAGGCAACAAAGCUGUGAAUGUCAUUCUUCAGCUUCUUGAUGGAAUAGAUAAAAAGAACCUCCAGUAGCCAAAGGUCUAAGUUGAACAGUAUGCUCAGAAUGCUACACCCCAUCAGCACCCGGACCAUGUUGGGGUGAAUAUAAGCCGGAGGAAUCUGGGUGAAGUGAAGAAAUUCCUUGAACAACAACGGGAGGGGGAACCGGAGCCCAGCAUUAAAUUGCUCCUUGGUAAAGCAGAUAGCGUUGUCCUCAGUUUUCUCAGUUGACAGGACCUCUCCGUCCGUAAGUUCAACGAACACGCCAUUGGGAAUGCAGAAGCGUUCGCGAAACUCCUUCACAUUCAACUUAUCCAUAGAUUUCUCAACAUGAGCAUUUCCGGACGAGCUCGAUGAAGUAGCUUCCUUGUUCGCAGACAUUUUUUAGGCUAGGGCUGAAAUGGAAUCUGCAUGGAGAAAUGCCAACAGUCAAACACAGCAAUCCGACGCCACAACCUUAAACUCUACCCUAAAGAAGGAUCGACAACCCACAAAAAGUGCAGGGGGGCAACAGAAACCCUAAACACACCCAAAACACAGUAAAAAAACCCCCCGAAAAAAACCCCUAGAAACCAACAUCGACACCCAGUUGCAAACAACUUGCCCAGCAAGCCAGAGACAACCAACAAAGCAAACACAAACGAGGAGAAGACAGAAAUAGAAAACAUACCGAUUGUAAACUGGAAAAAUGGGGAUGAGAACCACACUACAAUCACUGUCACAACACGAGUAUUGCCGACAGAAAACCUUAGAAACCUCACACACAGAUGAAGGUACGCAAAAAGCUGAAGAUAAAGCACUAUCAGAAACAAAUGCAAAAGGAAAAAUGCAAAGUGAGGGCUCAGUCUGCUAUUUAUAAUGAGACAACCCCUCGAUAUCCCAAACGCUCAGCCACACCAUCAUUGAAACGACACGCUGUCUGGGAAUACCCAGAGACAGCGGCUAAUCAUAAAUGCUCUCCUCUCUCUUUGCCCCCGCUCGCCACGUGGCCCAAUGAGCGCAAAAAAGGUAACCUUAGUUUCAAAAACAAUUAUUUUUAACCCGCCCAUUCUGCUCAGGCAAAAUCGGCAAGUUAAAAAGGGGGACAUUGUAGGGACCCCUCCCCCUGAUGACGCGUGGCGCACAUUUCCUGAUGACACGUGACACAUAUUUCUAUCCGGAUUUCCCCAAGAGGACACGUGGCGCGCUUCUCCUAUCCGGACUUCCUUAGGGAGAAGCACACGACACUCGCAAACAUCACAUCCGGACGAUCGCCAUAUCACAUCCGGACGACCGACAUAUCCUAUCCGGAUAUGUUUGUCUGAAUCGUUAACUAAAGUAAGCAAGUCUUACUACGUCAUUUCAAUAGCCUGCCACGACCCACGUUCCGCCACCUGCAGAGUGAAAAGACAGGAAUGAUGGCAAGUCACUUCCUACGAUCUUUGAUAGCUGCGGCGCCUCCCACGAUCUCUGUCAGCCGCCCGUAGGGUGAUGAUGGCCCUGUCACCACCUAGAGGCAUCAUGACAAACCAAAAUAUCUCCCUACCAUUAAAGAGAGAAACAAAGCUCCUAAAUGCUAUAUAUAUGAACCUUCACAUAAAGAGGAAGGUAAGCUUGCUACACCUAGUAAAAAACCAACUGAUUAUUCUCUCUAACCAUGGCUAACAAAACCAUCGGAGGGUGUGUCCGGACACCCUGUCCGAACGCCUUUUGCAAGAACGACUGAACUAGGAAUCUAUAUUGGUUGAGAUCGUGCGUCCAUCCAUUUGGCAACUGCGUGGAUCAUUAGGGACGCGAGGCCUCAACAAUGUAGUAUUCAAUUCCAUGGUUUUUAUAUUCACAUAGUUUCUAGGAGACUUUAUAGAUGUUUUUUCACUUAAAAAUCUGUAGCUUAUGUGAUUGAUUUCUCUUUUCAUUCUCUAAUUAUUAAAGAAGAAUUAAAAAUUUGUAUCUAGGAGACUUUAUAGAUGAUUUUCUCUUUUCAUUCUCUAAUUAUUAAAGAGGAAUUAAAAAUUAAAAAUUUGAGUUAAAAAGAAGUUAUUCACCCCUUAUACGUAAUUCAUAAUUAAAAUCUACAAACUUCCAAGUGUUUUGGGGAUGAAAAUAUAAAUAUUAAUAUUCAUGCCUAAACUUUCAACCCAUUAUAUUUUACCACCUUGGUCCUUAAAAUUUUCAAAUCAACCUGAGAUUUUGUAAGAUUAAAAUAUUACAAGCAAGAGCAAUACAACACUUUGAAAAUCCAAGUCCUUGAAAACUUAAAAUCUUCAAAACUCUUUUCCUAGCUAGAUUUAUUUGAGAAAGCUAAGCAAGGUCUCUAUCCUCUUAACUCAUCUAAUGACAAUGAUCAAAUUAUAUUACUUCCUAGACUUAAGACCUUCAUUUAUUUAAGAAUUCUAUAACUUGAUUCACAAAAGAUGAGAAUUUAUUUAUUUCUAUAAUAAGGUAAUUAGCUCUAGAACCCUUGAUAUAAAUUACUUCCUACUAGGAACUAAUUCCUAUAUAUACCCAAAAAAGCUCUCCUCCAUGCCCUACAUUUGGAAAUAAACAAAAAGUUCAUUGUGUAAUUCACUGUUCACCCUAGGUAUAAUGUCCACAUGCCUCUACAUUAAUCUUAUAUAUAUUUAUAUAAUUCUAAAGAUAUAAUGUUUACAUAAAGGCUUGCAAAAUGGUGUCUCAAGCGCAAGCAAGAUCAUGACCAUCAUAAUACUUAUUCCUUAUUUAUUUAUUUAUUUAUUUUAAGUAAGCAUAUAUGAUCAAUUUGAUUCCUCAAUACCUUUAUUAAUGGCAGUUUAGUUUGAUUCAAUAUUUAGGGCCACAUGAAAAAUGAUGUCAAAUACUAUGAAUGUUAGAUAAAGGUUUUUUUUUUUUUUAAUAAAAUUAACAUAAAGGAUAUGUGAAAGCUAGUAGCAUUGAACUCUUAAUAAUUAUUUUUUAAUGUUUUAAAUAGAAAAAGAAAAAAGUAUUUAUCUUACAAAUUAAAGUGACUCAAAUGUAAAAGAUGGGAUAAAGAGAGAGAAUAGAUAGCUACCUAAAUUAAAAUAAUUAUAAGGAUCAAUUAGGAGGUUUUAAAAACAAUAAAUUCUUGCAUGAAAACAUGAGAUAUGUAAACUUUACUUUCAUGAAGAGGCCAAGAUAUCAAAAAAAGAAAAAAAAACUGAAAACUUGAUACCAAAUUAUUUUUAUUUUUAUUUUUUUUGACCUUUCAUGUAUUGGAAGUUUGCAAAUUGCUGAAUUUUUUUACCCAUAUUUAUUUAUAACCUUUUGGUGUGACAUAUACAAUAAAUAUAUUUUAAAAGUUCAUUUUCUAAAUGUGUCAUCAAAGCAGGUAAGAAACUUAUCAUAAAAUAUGAAUUAAUUUUCUUUAUUUUGACCUUGCAUAUUGAUAUUGAUGGAGAAGUCUAUGCUUAUUAAUGUUCAACAACUAAUAUCAUUUAAUACCAGCUCUAGAUAGAAUUUAAAAUGAUUGUAGAGUUUUAUAAAUGAAAGACGACAGUAGAAUUAAAUAACACUUUUGAAAAGAAUCUUUAUUAAUAUAAAAAUAAAUAAAUACAUUGAAUGAUUCAAAGAUUCUCUAAAUUUUUUAUUCAUUUUUGGCAAUCACUAUUAUUUAAAUUUGUGGACACCAAGAUAUAAAUACUUUUUUCAAAAAUCAACAUAAAAUAUAUAAUAAUUGAAAAUUUUAAAUGAAUAUAUCUGUGCUCCUACUUUGAUUUUCCAAUAUAUGUAUUGCUCAUAUUUUGAUUUUUAUCAAAUCAAACAAUUUCAUUUCAAAGGAACAAUCAUAAAGAGAAUUAAAUUUUGAAAUGCAAAAUUAUUCAAUCAUAUUUAUGCUAACAUUGGAUGACACAAAAAUUAUAGUUUAACUAAUGGUAUUAGGUUUACAUGUUGGAUACAUUGAUAAAUGUUGAUAUAAAACCCAAAAAAAAUAUGAUAAAAAGGGGAAUGUGAAGCUUAAUAGUACCAAACUCUAUUAAUAUAGUUAUAAAAUAAACUAUGACCACAACUCGCUUAUGAAUACAUAUUUAGUCGCAAUUUCAAUUAUCCUAAAAAAAUAUAUGAUGAUUUUUUAGGUUAUUAUUUUCAUUCAAACAUUCACAAAAAUAGGAAUUAUUUUUUUAUUUUAAUUUUUUUUUACAAAUCAAUGGACAAUACUUCAUUCACUAUAACUAAAGCUUACAUGUGAUUAGUGUUUUAUUUAUUUAUUAUGACUAACAAAUAGUAACAACAAACUUUUUUGUAAUGAUAUAACCACCCAGGAUCUCAUUUAUUGUUGCACUUUCUACUAUAGAAGUGGAGUAUCUUUCUUUUGUUGAGAUGGACGUUUGAAGAAAUUAAAACAUCAUCAAGAGAAAGGAACAUUGUCAUUAUGUGUAGGUAUUGCAAUAACCAAAAGUCUAGUUUUUUCAUGUAAGGAUCAAGCAUCAUUUUGUUAAACAUGGAAAAGGUAUCAUAAAGUUGUAAAAGAAGACACAUUGUAGUUGUAUUCACCAAACCAGUGAAGUUAGAAACUUUCAUUAGGACCAAAUAAAAGCUUGAUGUUUAACUACUCUAAGUUAAGAAUACAAUCUAAGCUUAUCCAGUAAACACCGUACACACUUAAUUAAUGUGUGAUUUUGGAGUCUACAUAAAAGUGUAUUUUGUUGGGAAUUUAAAUCUAAGGAAAUGUGUACACUUCGGAAAUUACAAAUUAGGAAGUUGUUUUGAACUAUAAAUUUAUUUAUUUUAAUCAAAGUGAUUAAUAUAUAAAAAAAACGAUAAAUUUAUGAUCCAUGAAAUGUGUACAUCCCAUAUCUCAACUUAGGAUAAUUGUAUUCCAUAAAGUGGGGAUAUAAAAAAAAUGUUGUAUAACAUAUUGCACCACUUAUCCUAACUAAUGUUGGGUUAGGCAUGGAAUAAGAUAUAUCCUCUCAUCUUUUCUUCAAUCUCAUUCUAUAUCUAGAAAACCAAACAUUACCUAAGAGUUUUUGUAUUUUGUAUUUUAUAUAGAAGUCACAAUUAUAUAUAUAUUUUUCUAAAUAAUAAAAGAAGUGUAUCCAAACAAGCAUGAUGUAGUCUAAUUUUGAAAAUGAAAUUGUUUAUGGGGUUAUAAUAUUUGGUGGUGUUUGCUUUUUUGGCUUUUUGUUGAAAACAAUUUGUUUUUAGAAUUUAGGUUGUUUGUUUUUUUACUUUUUCAUAACUUAUUAUAAAAUUUUUACUAAAUAGAAAAAACCAAAAUAUGUAGUUUUUUCUAAAUAGAAAAAAUAACAUAUUGGUUUUUUUUACUUUUUAAUACUUAAUAAAAAUAAAAUACUAUAAAAACAAACAACCUAAUAUUUAACACUAUUAAGCAUUAACUUUCUAUUUAGAAUUAAGUAAAAAAACAAACACCAUCUUAGAUUUCAUUAAUCCCAUAUAUUCAACAUAAGAUUGAAACAUUUUGUUGCAUGCUAAAAACAGCUGAAUAUUUAUGAUGAUUAGCUGAUGACCCUUUGACCGGUUCUUCAGUAAGAAAGAAGAGAAUCGGGCCUCUCUUUAUGACACUUGGAAAUAUAAAAAUAGCGCACACACAGUGAAUCAGACAUGUAUCAUUUUGAUUCUUAUUCAUACUACUUCAGGGACUCUAAAAGCGAUGUGAAGUGGUUCAUUUAGAUGCUGCUGCUGCAAGUUUGGCAUCACGAAGGGCCUGGAACUUGGCAAUCAUCUUGUCUCGAGGUGGCCAGUUGUCCUUGAUUAUUGGAGAAUCCGCAAAGUCUUUCAUCCACGCCGACAACAAUGGAAACUUGUCUUCACCCACAAUUUUCAGGCCAGCUACAUCUUCCAAUAUGCUGAUCAAGUUAGCAAGCCAACCCAAUGCAAGAUCAACAAACCCAAUCCUUUC